GAAUGAAAGAGCUGAAGAAGCUUCAAACAUUGUCCAAUUUUAUUGUAGGCAAGGGUGAAUCCGCAUCUGGUUUGGAAGAUUUAAAAAGUUUAAACCUUCUUUGUGAUGAACUUUGCAUUGCUGGAUUAGAGAAUGUGAAUAAUCCACAGAAUGCAAGAGAAGCCGCAUUAUGUGAGAAGCACAAUCUUGAAGCAUUGACUCUAACAUGGUGGCCUCAAUUUGACAGUCCUCGAGGUGUAGUAGUGGAAGAGAAUGUACUUGACGUUUUGCAGCCUCAUAAAUGUAUAAAAAAGGUGGCAAUCAGGAACUAUGGUGGUGCAAGAUUUCCACCUUGGAUAGGAGAUACUUUAUUCUCCAAGAUAGAGCUCCUUGAAUUGAAGAACUGUGACAAUUGUGUGUCUUUGCCAUCGCUUGGCCUAUUGAGUUCACUUAAACACCUUGCUGUUAAAGGGCUGAAGAAACUAAAAAGCAUAGAGUCUGAGGUUUAUGGGGAGGGUUUGUCAAUGCCUUUUCCAUCGUUGGAGGUUCUAAGUUUUGAGAAUUUGCCUGAAUGGGAGUAUUGGGACACCAAUAUCAGAGGAAAUGUGCUCGUUGAAAUGUUUCCUCGUCUCCAUAAACUUUCCAUUGUGGAAUGUCCAAAACUCUCUGGGGAACUGCCUGAGCUCCUGCCCUCCUUGGAGACACUUGUUGUUAUUAAAUGUGAAAAUUUGGUAGUUCCAUUGUCUCGCUAUCCGAUGCUCUGCAGAUUAGAAGUUGAUGAGUGCAAGGAACUAGCGUGCGGGACUCCAAUUGAUUUCAAGUUGAUAAAGUCUGUGACUAUUUCAAAUAGUUCCUUAGACAUGGAUGGAUGCAAGGGGAUGCUAUACGAUGGUCCAGCUAGCUCUUCACUGCCAAAGCCCACGAUUACUACAAAUGUUUUGGAGUUUGGAAAAUUAUUGAAGCCUGGAUUUCAGAUAUUAGAAACGUUGGUAAUUGGCAAUUCUGAACAGCUCAAGUCAUGGAGGCAGCAUGGGGAUUUUCUAGAAGAAUAUAUGGUCGCUCGCCAAAGGUUUAAGAAACCAGUACAAGGGCUGAAUAUGCUCGCUUCCCCUGAAGAGGUAACAAUUGAAGAAAGUUGCGUACGUCUUGUUUUGUUUCCAGAGAUCAAUUUCUUUCCCAGAAAUCUGCGCUCUCUUCUAAUUAACAACAACACUGCUUUCAAAUCCUUACCCGAGGAAAUGAUGGAAAACAAUUCACAACUCGAAAGGUUGUAUAUCAGAGAUUGCGACUCUCUAACAUUCAUCGCAAGACGGAGGCUACCAGCAUCUCUUAAAAGGCUUGAGAUAGAAAAUUGUGAGAAAUUGCAACGUCUGUUCGAUGAUGAAGAGGAUGCUUCUUCUUCUUCUUCUCCUUCAUCCUCGUCUUCCCCAGUGAUGCUGCAACGCCUGAAUAUAAAGAACUGCCCAGAGCUCACCAGUUUAUCAUCGGGUGUCCAAUUCCUUGAGGCGCUUGAAGGCCUCGAGAUAUGGGAUUGUCCAAAGCUGGAGUCAAUACCGGAUGGCCUGCACAAUCUUAAAUGUUUACAGAGCAUUCAUAUAGAUGGAUGUCCAAGUCUUGUUUCCUUGCCCAAUGACAUGCACAAACUGAACUCUCUUCGAGAUUUAAACAUACGGGCGUGUCCAAUAUCGUUUCCAGAAGAAGGUUGUCCUACCAAUCUAACAUCACUUACACUUGGAUAUGUCGAAAUGUAUAAGACACUCGUCCAGUGGGGGUUGCACAGGCUUACCUCUCUUAGAAGCCUCGACAUUUUUGGAUGUGAUGAUGAAGCAGAGUGUUUUCCAGACGAGGAGAUAGGAAUGACGCUGCCCACCUCUCUCACUCAUCUGCACCUUUUUGAUUUCGAAAAAUUGAGAUCUCUGUCUUCGACGGGUUUUCAGAGCCUCACCUCUCUUCAAUCUUUGGAUAUCUGGUUUUGCCCAAAUCUCACAUCAUUCCCAAAGGUGGGCUUUCCAUCCUCACUUGUGGAAUUACGCAUUAGAGAUUGUCCAAAGCUUAAAAAAGCGUGCAAAAGAGAUCAAGGAAAAGAGUGGCCCAAAAUUGCUCACAUCCCUUGCGUUGAGAUAGACGAUAAAUUCAUAUACCAUCCAAAAUCAGAGGUGUAGAGUGUAUUAUUAAGGUCAGUUGAUUUAUGUUAUCCACCAUAACAAGCUCCUCCUUUUUUUUUAAAUAAUAAUUUUGCAGUCACUCGCGUGAUUCCGUUUUCACAAGUCAGAUUGUAUGUUGAGGCUAUUUGCCUUUUAAUCGCAGAUUAAAUUAUAACACUUAUCUUAAAAUUUAAUACCAUAGACAGAUAGACGAUUUUUUAAUCCAAAGUUUUUUUAUUCACUUCAGUUAGCAUUUUUUUUUUCCCCAAAUCAUGCAAGCCGAGAGUUUCAAUCAACAGAAUUUUAUUCACUCAUUGACUUUUCAACUGCUGUGGUUAUUUAUGGGUGAAAGAUAAAUUUCUUAGAUGGUAGAUAUAUCGACAUUUUAGAUUUCAGAUAUUUGUCACCAAUUUCAUUCCUUUUUUUAAAAUUUUUUUUAAGCAAGUUUGACUAAUUUUAACCAGAAUUGGAGUAUAAUAUUUUGGAGCAAGCAUACUUGAAAUUUCUGUCUUCAAUUUUUUUGAUGCUUUUUUAAUUUUGAUCUAGUAAAAAUACAUAGCCUUCACCGGCAGGAUUCUAGUCUUGGCUUUCACCUCUCUAACUCAUCUGUCCCUAUUGGGAUUCCAGAAAUUUAAAUUUCUGUCUUCAAUGGGUUUUCAAAGCCUCACCUCUCUUCGAUUUUUGUGGAUUGGGAAUUGCACAAAUCUCACAUCAUUUCCCGAGGUCGAGGAAAAGAGCGGCCCAAACUAUCAGCGGUGUUGAUUCUCUUAUUAAGGUCAGCUGAUUUCUAUUAUCCACUCUGACAAUCUCCUAUUAGUGUUUUUUUUUUAAAAAAUUUGCAGUUCUGUAUAAUUGAAAUGCCACUCACUUGUUUCCUUCUUCACAGGUCAGAUAGUAUGUUAAAGCUAUUAGUGCUGCCUCAUAGGUUGAUUACUCACAGAUGAAAUCAUAACUUUUAUCUUAAAAUUUAAUAGCAUACACAGAUAGACGAUUUUUAGUCCAAAGUUUUUUUUAUUCACUUCAAUCAAAAUUUUAGAUUGCAGAUUUUUGUCGAGUAUUUUCAUUCCAAUUUUUUCAUUUUUUAUUUUAAACCAGAAUUGGAGUAUAAAAUUUUGGAGCGCGCAUACUCUGAUGCAUGCAAUUAACUGUUUUUAAUCGUUGGAUUUUGAAAUUAAUGAUGGUAAGAUGUGUACUUAUUCUUUCUUCCAACAACCUUGCCUUCUUUCUUCGGUCGCAUAUCUAAUGAAUAUUUCUCUGUUUAGUUAAGGAUGAAUGCUUGGAGUGGGGUACUUGGUAACAUUUCUGCCUUAGAUGAAUCCUUGAAGAAAUGCCCGCAGUUCCUGAGACCAAAUACAGGUCUGAUUCAAAACAGCACCUUUCCCAGAAAAUAUGAUCCAAGGCAAAGUCAUGUUCUGAUAAUGUUUCCUUAAGUACUAAGUUGCAAGGAAACUUGAUUCAUUAACUACAGUUUUUUAUUUUUAGGACCUUGUAUCUGAAAGGUUCAGUGUUUUUUUUUUUCAAAUUUAUUGUUCAGAUCUCAGAGGAGUAUAUGGUUUAGAUUACAAAACACCCAUGAUUAAUUUCAUUUUUUUUUUAAUUUCAGGGAGAAGAAGUGGUCAGUUUCAAUCCGGAAUUGGAAUAUGGCAAUUUGGUUCAAGCAAACACACCUGGUCACUUGGUCAGUGGUCACUUGGUCAGCGAACCUGAACUUUACGCAGUUUUUUCAACUCAGUGAUUUUUGGAACGCAUAUUGGUGUAAGGAAAUCAAAAGAAAUUUAUGCAUUGUCAAAUUCUGAUAUUUGCUAUAUAUUAUACAUUCUAAAGUUUCUCCAGUUUGUUCUCAGAUUACCAUCAUUUUUUGCUUUCACCAACCAAACAAAAACAAAAUGAGUGGCUUUCCGGUGGAUAUUUAAUCGGAGGUAUGACUGGAUUUUUUUCACUUCUGUAAAUCUUGCAUUUUAAACUGGCAAAUUUAACUUUAAUUUUAAUAGGACUUUGUUGGUACCUUGUGUUCCAGAAACUAGAAAGAUGUGUAGUUUUCAGAUAAAGGGGCUUGUAAAUUCUCUAGUAAGAAUCCAAUAAUUUGCUUUUGCACGUUCAUUUUAUUUGUGGAUCCUUGCAUCUGAAUUUGAUCAAUCCAAAAGGAAUUGCUUUUAGACAGAAGAAGAAUAGCAGUACCUAGCCUAUGACAUAGUAUAUGGACCUGCAAACCUGAAACUAUUAGUUUGAGGUAAAAAAUUCAUGACCCUCACAUGUUAACUUCUUCUAGUUACUUUCAUGAAAAACACAUUUAAGAAAUUUGCAAUUUUUUGUUAGUUUCGUAUCCGAUGUUGUUUUCUGUUUUAGCAUUUGUAGAAUCUACUGUAUUAUAUUUUGGCAGUUGCAGUAUCUGAGGUAUGUUUUGCAUUUAACUUGCUUUGUUUGUUUUGCUUGUGACUUAAGAACACCAAUAUUUGCCAGAGAUUUAGAGAAGCAUAUCAAGAUGCUUGGCAAACUUGACAAACUUCAAGAUCCUCCAUUCUUCACAACGCAAAACUUGUGAGUACACCUAUGCCCGCAAUUAUUGUGAAAUGCUUGCAAUUUUGAUGCACUGAAAUGGUUUGUUGAUGCAAAGGUUUAAACUUUUAAGAUUCACCCUGCAGGGUAGUUGGAUGCUGUAUAAUCGAAAAGCGACCAACAUCAAGAAUUAUGACUCCAAGACCGGGUUUGCAUUAAUUCAAUCAGCUGAAAUCAUGAUGCAAAUGACACUAUCAGCUGGACUUAGAGACCAGUCAGAUCAAUCAUCCUUUUAUCAACAGUUAAUGUCAUGAUGGUGGCUAUCGGAGGAAACAAAGGAUGUGUCGGAAUCAAUAUGAACAGUGAGAAGAAUGAGAGGAGCUUUGAUUACAAGUAGGCUCAAUGAACUCAUGCUGGUAAGUGGUAAUUAAAGAAAUUUGUACGCUUAGUAGAGUUUCAAUAUUUUCUGUUUGGGAUAUAGUUGAUAAUUUGAUACUCUGAUUAAGAAGCCUGAUUAUAGUAGCUGACUUUUUUUUUGUGGUUUGCUGUUGUUUAUUCUUUCGAUUAAUUUCAACAUUAGGUUGAUCUGUUGAAGAACAAACUUGGGUUUGAUUAUGCUUUAACUACAAGGAAGAGCCAGGCUUGGAUGCAGGCGUUCAGCUUUUAAUGGGUAAGAACAUAUGUAUGCUUUAACCAUGUUUCUCACUUAUUACAAUGCAUGCAUUGAAGGCAUCUGAGCUGAUCCUGAAAAUGUGAUGGAAAUACUUCUCUGUUUACAUAAAACAGGACAAGAGAUCUCUGAUCAUGCCUGAGAAUUCGUUGCAUUUAAAAUUUCUACCAUUGCCAAAAAUAGAAUAAACUAGGGAUAGAUUAGCUUAAGACUCAAUUUUGAGAAGGAAGUUUGCACAUGCAGCCUAAAAAAUCAUGUCCGUGUUGUAUACUUGUAUGUUUCUUUGGGAAAUGAAAGAUUCUGUGUGUUCUUUUGUUUCAAGUUUGCUGAAAUCACAUUUGUUUUCUUAGAUGCUUUUGGGAAGGUAACAACAUCAAUUUCAUAAAUGCUGGGGUAAGAUGCAUCACGCAGUGCUACUCAACAUGAGAAUUCCCGGCCGCAUUACCUGUAUGUUGAGUGAUCGCACAGUACAACCUUUAGAAGCUUGUAAGGAGUAGACAACUAGAUGCGAAUAGUUUCAAUAUGGAUUCGCAUCAAAUGAUCUCUUGCCAGUGAUUACUAUAACCCCUAUCCCAAAAUUCUUGGCAUUGGUCAUACCAAUAAUGAAGUAUUGUGUACGUUGAAGACAUAGCUCAAGGCCUUGCGAAAGCUCCGUCAGCCUUUGUAUUGGAAAACAGUUGGUUGUAGUUGCUUCUGAGUGAUAUUAUUAAUAGAUACUGUAAAAAUGAACUGUGCCACUCAUUUUCAGAGCCCUGUUAAGAUGUGUUGGUAAUGUGUUUGAAGGUUGUUUGAUUUAUGUUGUAUUCAGCUACAAAUCAAAGAUUCAGAACAUGGUUAUGUUACUGGUUUCCAAAUCAAAAAAAUGCCUUGUGAUGUUAGUGUUCAUUUUUUUCACAGGAGAUCAGGUUCCCUGUUGAUGAAUCAAGAAGGCAAACGCAUCCAUGUCUUAAGUUCAAAUGUGUCUCUUCUAUUUUCUAUUACUGACUCCUUUAUUUUGAUUUCUUCAUUGUAAUGGAAUUGGUUUUUUAUUCCAAAUUAGUCAAAACCUCCUAGAGUCAUUAAGUUCUGUUAGCAUUUGAAGAUAGAACUAGAACUAAAUGAUUGACUGGAUUAAAUUCCGAUAAAGAAUUAAGUUAUAUAUUUAGAGAUAUUAUGUUUUUUUUUUUUUCAUUUGUUCAAUUUGGUUAGUGGUGAUUUCUUAAAGACUCAAUCCAUGUGCGUUUAUGCAUUUUUCUUUUGCCUUAAUUUCUGUUUCUUGGGGAGUUUAUACAGAUUCUUAUUUUAUGCUUCACAUGCCACAUGAAAGAUCGAAGCCUUUUGUGUGAUUAGAACUGACUUGCAUCACAGUAACUUUAAAUCACUGCGACAUUUUUAUAAUAACAGUCUGAGAUCUCCCUGCAGGAUUCAAAGCAUUUUAUUUUAUAUUAAACUCCUUUACGUGGGUUUGGACACUACCACAAGUUCUUUAAAUACUAAAACGAUUUUAAGUCUUUUGUAUCAUCUGAUUUAAAUACAUGAAAGCACUCGUGGCUGCAAAAAUACAGUUGGGGCUAUUUCUAAAGUCUUCAACAGCAUUUUCUUUUUAACCUUUAUCCUCAUGGUUGUUUUUGCAGUUGUUCUUUAAGAAAACAUUUAAAAGGUUCUCUUUAUGGAUUUUUGAAAAUAAUUUUAACAUGAGCAAUUUUCAGAAGCACUUUAGAUGUCUGGCAUUUAGGAAAUUUUAUUUCGGUGUCACAUAAAAUACUUAGGAAGUUAAAUUUAUUUAUUUAUGAGCAUGUGCCAGUGCCCAGUGGCAUCCUCUUCACUUGUGAUAGUCAAAUGUAUUAUACGAUACAAUAUUAGCUUGACUGUAGCACAGAGGAGAAUAGGGUUGGUGUUGGUCUGAACCAGCUUAUGUAACAGCUGCCAAAGGAUAAUUUAAUUGUACUUUGAGUAAAGCUUUUGCGAAUUAAACAAGUGAUAAUUUGUUUUUAUUAAGAAAAACUUAAGGAAUUAGGCUAUUUUAACUGACCAAAUUACACAUUAAAAAUUCAUUUACAAAAAUAGUUUUUAGUUAUUAAAAUAUUCCUAAAUUAAAUUAUAAUUAUGGACACUAAAAUAUUUUUUUUAUAUUUUACUCUUUGAAACUGUCUUUAUAUUCGAUAUUAUAUUUUUUUCUUAAACUCUAAAUUGAUUUUUUUUUUUGAUUAAUUUUAAAACACCUAUAAAGUGAUUCAUAUUGAUUUUAUACUAACAAACUAUUAUAGCACAUUCGAAAAAUAAUUAAAUCGUUCUUAUUUACAUAGUGAAAAUGCAAAUAGCUCGUUCAAAUGUUAAGGAAUUGGAGAGCUGCUGCUGGAGAUGAAAGAUGUGAAUUAAACAUCAGAAAAAAAAUUAUGUUUACUAUCUUGCCAGACCAAGCACCGAAAAGCAUCGUAAAGAAAAAUUAGAUAAUUUAGAAGAUAAAGCACGUGGAAUGGAGGCAGAAAGCAAGUAAUGAUAACUCUUUCGACAAACUAAUAUAUACCAAAAUGCAAUAUCAAAAAUGAAAAUAAAAAUUCAUUACGAAUACGUGUUAAAGAUAUCCCAAGUAUAGAUGUGACUGAAAUAUUUGAGAUUGAAGAAGAAUUAAGACUCAAAAUCAAUUGGGAGGAAUAAAUGAGAAACCUCAAUACCAAAAAAUACACGCGCAAAUCCUAAUACUAAUUGUAAUUGCAGAUAAAUAGCAUAAUACGAAUAAAUUCCAUGGGCAACUAUUUCAUUGAGAAAUUAAUUAAAUCGUGUAUUAAUAUUUUGUAUACAUAUAUUUUUCUAUAUAUGACUUUCGGUAAUUUAAUUUUCCACUUAUCAUUUUUACUCCAAAAAAAUAAUUGAGAAUAUUAUUUAUGUUUUGGUGCAAAAUAUUUGAACAAUAUACAAAUUUUCAGUUUAAUAAAUCUAAACAUCUAUUAAGUUAUAAAUGAAUUUAAUGGGUUUAAUUAAUAAAAUUACUAUUAUUAUAUAAAUUGGAUUUAGUAAUGGUACAUUGGGUGGGUUUGUUGAGUAAAUUUUAAAAUUUUGAAAUUUAAGGAUGGGUUUAUUUAGUAAAUGAGUUAAGGGAGUAGUUUGUUGGGAUUCACAUAACGCCACCAAAUUCAAAUGUAAAAUUUAUGGAAAAAGAAGCUAUUGAGUUAUUCUUUUUAAAAAAAGAAUUAAAAUGUCAAGAAUACCUUUAUUUAAUUUUAUAAUCUUAUUUUAUAGUCAUAUUUUAUUUCCACCUUAACAUAAUUUUAAAAAACCUUAACUAAUAAAUUCUAUAUUUUUUUUAUAAAAGUUAUCAUUAAUAUCCAAACGGCUAAAGAUUUUUUUUUUUAAAAAAAAAGAAACUAUGCUUACAAAAGUUGUAUACAUUAACAAUAAAUUUAGUCCAAAGAAUAAAGUUAUUCCAAACAAGCACUCCUAUUCAUCUUGCUAAUGAAUCAAGAUGACUGAAUCCAUUCUCUAAGCCAAAUCUAUUUUCACUUCUAGGUCAGAAAUUGUCAUUAAAAAAGUGUUUGAUAAAAUAUGCUCUGGGAACACUAAUUCGUCAGAUGGUUACUCCAAGUUUAUGAAAUCAAUGGGGUUUCAUCAUAUUCAUAACAUUCUUCUUUAAUGUCUAUUCUAACAAAGAAAUUACUAGAAAACUUUUACUAGAAAAACUAACCACAAUUCAUCAUUCAUUUAUAUCUUAAGUAAGCGUAAGAUUUUAUCAUUAAAAUCUCAUCAUGAAAAAACUCAUGGGAGAAAAACUAUAAAAAUUGAAGAAAAAAGAGUAUGGCGUGCAUGUAAAUUAUAUCGAUUUUAUCUAUAUGACAAAUAAGACUCUCUUUUACAAUGGCACGGAUGCUUCAUUGAGUAAUCAUGAUUCUUGCUGGUAGUGCUUUGUUGUAUCAAUCUGCUAGCUAUUCAGCUUUCUUUCUUUCUUUCUUCUUUUUAUUUUUUUUGUUUUCAAAUAGCUUGUGGUUGUAGAAAUAUUUCAAUUAAACUAUACUUAAGUACUUAUUUGGUAUAACUUCUUUACUAGCCAAAAGAUUUUUUUUUUGGUUUUUUAUAAUUUAAUUAUACUUUAACUAGAGUUUUUGGGAUUAAACAAGUGAUAAUUUCUCUCUGUUAAGAAAAACUCAAACGGUAGGGUUAUCUCAAUCCACCAAACUAUUUAUUAAAAAUCCACUUAUGAAAAUAAUUUUUAAUUAUUAGAAUGCCUCUAAAUUAAAUUACAAUUAUAGACACUAAAAUAUAGUAAAAAAAAUUUUUUUUUACUCUUUAAAACUGUCUUUACAUUCGAUAUCAUAUCUUUUUCUUAAAAUCUAAAUUGAUUUUUUUUUUAUUAAUCUCAGAACACAUAUGAAGUGAUUCAUAUUGGUUUUAUACUAACAAACUAUCAUAGCACAUUCGAAAAUAAUUAACUCGUUCUUAUUUGCAUAGUGAAAAGGCAAAUAGUUCAUCCAAAUGUUAAAGAAUUGGAGAGCUGCUGCUGGAGAUGAAAGAUGUGAAAAGCAUGGUAAAGAAAAAUUACAUAAUUCUCACUUAGAUGAGGAAGAAAAAAAAAAGAAUACAAUUAGAAUGAGAGGUAGCCAAUAGCCACUAGCCGCCGCCACCGCCACCAGUGAAACUAUUUCACAUAAUAGAAGAUAAAGCACGCGUAAUGGAGGCAAAAAGCAAUUAAUGAUAACUCUUUUCGACACACUAAUACAUAUCAAAAUGCAAUAUCGGUCCUAACAAAAUGAAAAUAAAAAUUCAUUACGAAUAUGCGUUAAACAUAUCCCAAGUAUUGAUGAUGUGAUUGAAAUAUUUGAGAUUGAAGUAUAAAUAAGACUCAAAAUUAAUUGAGAGGAAUAAAUGAGAAACUCUAAUACUAAUAAAAUACAUUCACAAAUCCUAAUGCUAAUUAAAAUCACGGAUUAAAAAAAAUAAUAUGAAUGAAUUACAGGCGCAACUGUUUCAUUAAGAAAUUAAUUAAAUCGUGUAUUAAUAUUUUGUACACAUACAUUUUUCCAUAUAUAACUUUUGGUAAUUUAGUUUUCCACUUAUCAUUUUACUCCAAAAAAAUAAUUGAGAAUAUUAUUUAUGUUUUGGUGCAAAAUAUUUAAACAACGUAUAAAUUUUCAGUUUAAUAAAUCUAAACAUUUCUCAAGUUGUAAAUGAAUUUAAUGGGUUUAGUUAGUAAAAAUGCUAUUAUUAUAUAAAUUGGGUUUAGUAAUGGUAUAUUGGGCAUUUAAAUGGGUUUGUUGAGUAAAUUUUAAAAUUUUAAAAUUUAAGGGUGGGUUUAUUUUAGUAAAUGGGUUAAGGCAGCAAUUUCCCAAACUAAAAUUUUUAGAAAAAGAGGCUAUUUAGUUUUUUUUUUUAAAAAGAAUUAAGAUGUUGAGAAUACCUUUAUUUACUUUUAUAAUCUUAUUUUAAAAAAUUUACCCAAUAAAUUUUAUAAUUUUUUACAAAAAUUAUCAUUAACAUCCAAACAGCUAAAGAUUAAAAAAAAAAAAAAAGAAGGGAACUGUACUAGCAAAAGUUAGAUUAACAAUAAAUUUAGUCCAAAGAAUAAAGUUAUAGCUAAAAAGUGCUCCUAUCCUAUUUUUCUCUAUUUUAACAAUAAUCUUCCAAUCCAUUUUACAAUGGACUUAACAAAUGGGCUCAAUCUCUAAACUUCAUUUUCUUUUGCUAACCCAUGGCCAUUAGCCAGAAAGCCUAAAACAAUUUUAGGAUCACAUGUGUAAAUGGAACUCCAAGAUUGAUCAAGAAUUAACAAGACAAGAUGAAGAGAUGAUCUUGUAACUAAGAAUGAAGAAAUUGAAUCAAGACAGUACUCUAGUAAAACCCAGAAAACAGAGCUUGAAGAAUCACGCACAAAGCAGUAAAUUUGUAAAACCAGAAUUGGAGCUUCACUUCUCAAGAUAGACGAAACAGGAUACAAUCUAGCUUUGGUCAACUUCGUUUGGCCACGUCAUAAAGUCUUCCCCCACAGUCUUUCCCGCCAAAACAGAAAAGCUUUAAAAGCCAUUUACCCUCCUGAGUUACUUGCUCCUAUUACAUCAAGGCCCUGUAAGUCUAUAUUUAUUAUUACAAAAGCACCCUUAAACCGAGAUUUGAGAUAUUUUUUCAAAGAUCGAAGCGCAUGAUUUCACGGCUAUGUUGCAUAGUGAAUUUUAGUGCUUUACAGUUAAGGGAUAGUUUAAAUUCAUUACAAAGCAUUCGCAAAGAAAUUGUUUUUAAAUGAAACUCCUCGUCUUGACCAGAUUAUUUAUUAUUAUUAAAAAAAAAUGUUCAAAACUUAGCCAAAGUGAUAAACUCGUAAUUAUUCUACAAAGGGAACAAUUUUGAACGGUGGGAAAUUCCAUAAUUAUGCUUUUCUGUGAAUUAUUUUAAAUAAAAUUAUAAAAAUUAAUAUAAAAUUAUAAUAAUGAUAGAGCCACAAAUUCUUGUACAAAUUUAUUUUAUACAAACUCAUGUGGCAUGAUAAGAUUGGUUGAAUUAAAUAUUACUUGGCCCACAUGAUUUGUUUUUAUUAUUUUAUAUUUUUAUUCAACCAAUAAAUUAAUACCACGUCAGUUUGUACAAAAUAAAUUUAUACAAAAAUUUGUGACUCGAUCAUCACUCAUAAAAUUAAUACCCGGUAAAGACUGUAGAGAGACAAGUGCCCCCAACAGAAUCAAGUGAAUAUGCCCCACAAAGAUCACAUGAUCAUUUCUGUUCUUUUUCUUUUUGAUAAUUUUAUCUGUGGUUUCAACUUUUAUGCUUUAUUGUCGUAUCCCGUUGAGGGCUCCGCUGCACCCAUUACAACUUACCCCUAAAUUGCCUCUUACUAACUAAACCGUUAGAUUUUAUGGAAGCACGUUCAAUGUUGAAUUUUAAUUAUGUCAUCGAAUUUCGUUUAGCUCCUUAAACUCCAUUUUAUUUGUAAUUUCUUCAUAAAAUAUUCAAAGCUUCAUCAAGCUCCUGAUGGACCAUCAUGGCUAGGGGUGCAUUAGAGCCGAACUGAAAUAUGUUAGUUCAGUUCAGUUUGGUCAGUUUAAAUCGAAUGGUUUAGAAUAUAUAAACUGAUCAAUUUUAAUUUUGAAUUGAACCGAACCGAAAAUCAAUUGGUUCACUAUUAGUAUUUUUGUAUAAACAAGAAUGAUUAGUGAUUAUAAUUAAAUUGGACUAAAAAAAAUUCAAACUAAGGUGAAAAAUAUCAAAUCUUAGACAAUAUAAAAAAAAAUAUUAAAUUUUUUUAACCGAAACGAACCGAAUUAUUUUGACUCAGUUUGGUUCAUAAUUUUUUAAACCAAACUGAUUUAUUCCCACCCCCUAAUCGUGGCUCUCUAUCUUUAGUCAUUCACCCUUGAGUUUGAUGCCAAUUGUUGGGUUUCAAAUGAUUAUACACUCAAAUGGAACCCUCAUAACAAAAAACUAACAGAAACAAUAAGAACACGAUGUUAAAAUCUUAAAUCAAUCGCAACGGUCCUUUUUUUUCCCCAUUCUUGAACCUAAAGUAUUUGAGUAUGCAAAUUAAUAAAUAAAUUCAUUUAUUUUUAUUAAAAUUUUGUAAAAUUAUAAUUUUUAAUAAAAAUAAUUAUUAAAAUUUUGUAAAAUCUAAAUUUAGAAAAAUUCAGUUGGGCACCUCUAUUUGAGAUUUAUUUUUUAUUAAAUUUAGGGAUAUUUUUAUAAUUAUAAUUUUUAAUUUUAAAAGUUUUUAUAAGAUAAAAUAGUCUUUUAAUUUAUUUAGGGGUAAAAUUGAUGUUUUAUUAAAAUUAUUUAAUUGUGUUAAUGCAAAAGUGACUAUUUGAUACAAAUGUGAAAAGAAAGGUGGUGCAAAAUAUAUGUUAAAAUUUUAUAUUGGUUGGAUGAACAUAAGCUAAAAUAAAGGUGGUGCAAUGAUAAUUUCCCUAUCCUAAAACUUAAUUGACUUAAUUCUUAUGGUGCAAGGAAGAGGUUUCCAAGUUUAAAUCUAAAGGCUUGUAUUUAAUUUGGGGUUGGGAAAGCACUGAGAAAUAAAUGUAACUAAGGAAAAAAAAAAAGUCAUGCAGUCCAAAUAAGUAGACAUAUUUAAUAUGAGGUGGGGAUGGGUGAACUGUAAUUCAGAAAAAAUAAAAUAAAAUUUCAUAUAAAGUUGAGGGUGUGUUUUAAUGGUUUCUUAUGCUGCGUUUACUUUUUGGACUAGAGUGAGAAUUCUGAGAAGUGGGAAUCCUGUGAUUAGGUGUGUGGAGUGGGAAUGAGAGUAGGGUAUUUACUUAGACUAAAUAAAAAUAUGGAUUGUCAAUCAGAAUCUCAAUUAUUUGUUACUUUGUCUUGGAUUGAGAGUAAAUUAUUUUAAAUUACAAUUUUAUCCUUAUGUAAAGAAUUAUAAUUUGUAAUUAAAAAAUUAAUAAAAAUAUAUUGGAAAAUAAAAUAAAUAUUUUAUUAUAUUUAUAAAAUAAUAAUAAUUAAUAAAAUUCUUAAUUAUGUAAAUCAUAAUUUUUUAUUAAUUUAAAUUUAAAUUAUGUGAAUAAAAAUUAUUAAUAAUAGCAACACAAAUGAAACAUUAUUAUUGAUAAUAUAGUAUAAAAUUAAUAUUUUUUUAGAAUAAAAUAUUUAUUAUUAUUAAAUAAAUAAAUAAUAUUUAUUAAAAUUAAUGUUUAAUAUUAUUAAUUUAAAUAUAAUAUUUAUUUAUUUUUAUUUUAUUUUAUUAAAUUUAAUAAAAUAAAUAUGUUAUAAUUAUUAUUUUUAAUAAAUAUGACAUUAUUUAUUUUAUUAAAUAUUAUUUAUUUAUUUUAAUUAUGAGGGUAAAAAUAAAAGAGGGGGAGUGGAUUCCCACUCCCACCUCCCCCCAUGGGAGUGGGAAUCCCACUCUCCCCUUAAAAAUGAUAAGUAAACACUAGAAUGGGAAGAAUCCACACUCUACACUUUCUAAAAAAUAAACACUACCUUAAUUUAAAUUGAUUUGUUGGAUAUUUAGCUAAAAUGAGAGUAGCUCUCUAAUAAUUAUUGCAUUAUUACAAACAUAUCCAACGGUUAUAUAUGCUUGCCUGUGGAAAUAAAAGUCCCAAGUUUCUUUGAAAGGUAAGCUAGUGUGAAUGUUUUCAUCCGUGCAACUUACUUGAUGAAUGAAGUUUUCAUCCCUGACCUUGAUGUUUCUGGUGGCUACAAUCAUUUCAGCUGAUCUAUUCCAUUUUGUUAAGGUGAGAAUUUAGAGUGGCUUUAACUGUUAGCAAAUAGCCUAAUGUAAGACUUGAUCAACUUCCUGCCCUGUUGUAUGCUUAUGAAUUUUGAUAGAGUUAUGAGUUUGCAGAAGCUACUGUAUUAUAUGUUGUUAGAGGCUGUAAAAAUGAGGCAGAUCAAACACACAUUUAAAUUUCAAUGACAAUUUACUAGAAGUAAAUUUCCUAUGACCCUCCAGGUGACUAAUCAAUGAGAACUUGACAAUAACAAAAGAAAGUGUAUGAGCUUUGCAGGCGGGCACGCCAAUCUUGACUGCAUGGCACCAUCCGCCAUUUGCAAGUGAAUAUCAUUAUUGUUUAAUCAACAUGGUGGAGUCCACUGGGACCACACCACAUGGUCAGUCUUAUCUCUAUUCCUCAAUUUUCAGUAUUCCAUACAUCAAAACAAUUUCAGUUUUGUUAUCAAUUAUAAUUUCAUUGUUGGAGACGAUUCUGAUUCCUUUCUUUCUGACAAAACGGAACCAUGGUUGCUGUGGGAGAGAUCUUACUCAACGCCUUCUUUCAGGUGUUGUUUGACAGGUUGGCUUCCCGUGAUUUGCUCAGCUUUGUCCGUCAACUUGGAGGCGGGGUCGAUUCCGAGCUCAAGAAGUGGGAAAGAAAGCUGAAGAUGAUUCAGGCGGUGCUCAACGAUGCAGAGGAGAAGCAACAGACUGACGAGGCUGUGAAGAUGUGGCUGGACGAUCUCCAAGACUUGGCUUAUGACACUGAGGACAUUCUUGAUGAGUUUGCUACUCAAGCCUUGGAAAGCAAGUUGAUGGCGCAAAAUCACGAUAGUUCUGGCCAGGUUCUCAGUUUCAUCCCGGCUGGUUUGAAUCCGAAUGCUAUUAUGUUCAAUUAUAGCAUGGGGUCCAAGAUUAAAGAUAUCACUAGCCGGCUGGAGCAACUCUGCCAAGAAAGAAUUGAACUUGGACUGCAACGGAUUACCGGAGAGGCAUCAUCAACUGCUGCUGCUGCUGCACACCAGAGGCCACCCAGUUCGAGUGUCCCAACAGAACGUGAAGUAUUUGGAAGAGAAGAAGAUAAGGCCAAAAUUCUUGAUAUGGUAUUGGCCGAUACCCCAAGUGAUCAUGCAAACUUUGUUGUAAUACCCAUUGUUGGCAUGGGCGGGAUAGGAAAAACAACUCUUGCCCGGGAAGUCUACAAUGACAAGGCCGUUGAAGAUUCCAAGUUUGAUGUAAAAGCAUGGGUUUGCGUAUCUGACGUCUUUGAUGUUUUGGGCAUCUCAAAGGCACUUCUCGAGUCAAUCACCCGCAGGCCUUGUCUUCUAAACAGUUUAAAUGACGUGCAGGUUGAGCUGAAAGCAGCUGUGGAUAAAAAAAGGUUCCUGCUGGUCUUAGAUGAUGUUUGGAACGAGGACUACAGCUUAUGGGUAGACUUAAAAGCUCCGUUACUGGUUGCUGCACCAAACAGCAAGAUGAUCGUCACCACACGCAAUUCAAGUGUUGCAUCAACAAUGAGACCCAUCGAUCGUCACCACACGCAAUUCAAGUAUUACGAUCUCAAGAGUCUGUUAGAUGAUGAUUGCUGGUCCAUUUUCAUAAACCAUGCAUUUGAAUCUACAGACCUUAGCGCACAUCGAAUUUCAGAAUCAUUCCGCGAGAAAGUUGUUGGCAAGUGUGGGGGCUUGCCUCUAGCAGCAAAAACACUCGGGGGCCUUCUUCGUACUAAAACGCAUGCUGAGUGGGACGGUAUAUUGGAUAGCAAAAUAUGGGAUUUACCUCGGCAAAGCAGCAUUCUCCCCGUGUUAAGAUUGAGUUACCAUCAUCUUCCUUCUCAUUUGAAAAGAUGUUUUGCUUUUUGUGCCAUCUUUCCAAAAGAUUAUGCAUUCACUGAGAGGGAGCUGACUUUCUUAUGGAUGGCUGGAGGUAUUAUUCGACAGUCAAGAAACAAUGAGCAGCUGGAAGAUUUGGGCAGCAAGUGCUUUGGUGAUCUAGUGUCGAGGUCAAUUUUUCAACAAACAGCAAUCUCUGAUAGUUCUAAAUUUGUAAUGCACGACCUUAUCCAUGAUCUUGCUCAAUUGGUCUCUGGAGAAACCAUAUUUAGGUUAGAGGAGGCCAAUACUCUGUCAAGAAGAUUUGAAAGGGUUCGCCAUUCCUCCUAUGCCCGUGAUUGGUGUGAUGGUAGAAAUAAGUUGGAGGUUUUCAAUGAAAUUGAACAUCUACGAACAUUCUUGCCAUUUUGCAUAAGAGGUGGCGUUACUUCUGGUUGGAUAACUAGCACGGUUCACUACGAUUUGUUGCCGAAGUUCAAAAGGUUGAGGAUGCUGUCUUUAGAAGGAUACCAUAUUGGUGAGUUACCAAUUCCAUUUGAAGAUUUGAGACUUUUAAGGUUCCUCAACCUUGCUGACACUGACAUAAGAAGUUUACCUGAGUCAACAUGCAAAUUGUUGAACUUGGAAAUUCUGAUAUUAAGAAAUUGUUCCCGUUUGACAAAGCUUCCCCAGAAAAUGAGGAAUUUGAUCAAUUUACGUCAUCUGGAUAUAAGAGGUGCAAAGCAGCUGAAGGAGAUGCCAUUUGGAAUGAAAGAGUUGAAGAAGCUUCAAACGUUGUCCAAUUUUAUUGUAGGCAAGGGUGAAUCUGCAUCUGGUUUGGAAGAUUUAAAAAGUUUAGACCUUCUAUGUGAUGAACUCUGCAUUGCUGGAUUAGAGAAUGUGAAUAGUCCACAGAAUGCAAGAGAAGCCACAUUAUGUGAGAAGCACAAUCUUGAAGCAUUGACCCUAGAAUGGGGGUCUCAAUCUGACAGUCCUCGGGAUGCAGUACUAGAAGAGAAGGUACUUGACACUCUACAGCCUCAUGAACGUAUAAAAGAGCUGGCAAUCAGGAACUAUGGUGGUGCAAGAUUUCCACCUUGGAUCAGAGAUCCUUCGUUUCCCGAGAUGAAGGUCCUUAAAUUGGAGAACUGUGACGAUUGUGAAUAUCUGCCAUCACUUGGCCUGUUGAGUUCACUUAAGCACCUUGCUGUUAAAGGGCUGAAGAAACUAAAAAGCAUAGGGUCUGAGGUUUAUGGGGAGGGUUUGUCAAUGCCUUUUCCAUCAUUGGAGGUUCUAAGUUUUGAGAAUUUGCCUGAAUGGGAGUAUUGGGACACCAAUAUCAGAGGAAAUGUGCUCGUUGAAAUGUUUCCUCGUCUCCAUAAACUUUCCAUUGUGGAAUGUCCCAAACUCUCUGGGGAACUGCCUGAGCUCCUGCCCUCCUUGGAGACACUUGUUGUUAGUAAAUGUGAAAAGUUGGUAGUUCCAUUGUCUCGCUAUCCGAUGCUCUGCAGAUUAGAAGUUGAUGAGUGCAAGGAACUAGCAUGCGGGACUCCAAUUGAUUUUAAGUUGAUAGAGUCUGUGACUAUUUCAAAUAGUUCCUUAGACAUGAAUGGAUGCAAGGGGAUGCUAUACGAUGGUCCAGCUGGCUCUUCACUGCCAAAGCCUAUGAUUACUACAAAUGUUUCGGAGUUUGGAAAAUUAUUGAAGCCUGGAUGUCAAAUAUUAGAAACUUUAGUAAUUGGCAAUUCUGGACGGCUCAAGUCAUGGAGGCAGCAUGGGGAUUUUCUAGAAGAAUAUAUGGUCGCUCACCAAAGGUUUAAGAAACCAGUACAAGGGCUAAAUAUGCUCGCUUCCCCUGAAGAGGUAACAAUUGAAGAAAGUUGUGUGAGUUUUGUUUUGUUUCCAGAGAUCAAUUUCUUUCCCAGAAAUCUGCGCUCUCUUCUAAUUUGCAACAGCACUGCUUUGAAAUCCUUACCCGAGGAAAUGAUGGAAAACAAUUCACAACUGGAAAGGUUGUAUAUCAGAGAUUGCGACUCUCUAACAUUCAUCGCAAGACAGAGGCUACCAGCAUCUGUUAAAAGGCUUGAGAUAGAAAAUUGUGAGAAAUUGCAACGUCUGUUCGAUGAUGAAGAGGAUGCUUCUUCUUCUUCUUCUUCUCCUUCAUCCUCGUCUUCCCCAGUGAUGCUGCAACACCUGAUAAUAGGGAAAUGCCCAAAGCUCACCAGUUUAUUAUCGGGUGUCCAAUUCCUUGAGGCGCUUGAAUUCCUCAAGAUAGAGCAUUGUCCAAAGCUGGAGUCAAUACCGGAUGGCCUGCCCAAUCUUAAAUGUUUACAGAGCAUUUAUUUACUCAAUUGUCCAAGUCUUGUUUCCUUCCCAGAAAGAGGGCUUCCCCACACCAUUUCAUUUGUUUGCAUUUGCGGAUGUGACAAGCUUGAAGCCCUGCCCAAUGACAUGCACAAACUCAACUCUCUUCGACAUUUAAGCAUACAGCUCUGUCCAAAUCUUGUAUCGUUUCCAGAAGAAGGUUUUCCUACCAAUCUAACAUCACUUACAAUUGGAGAUUUCAAAAUGUAUAAGAUACUCGUCCAGUGGGGGUUGCACAGGUUUACCUCUCUUAGACGCCUCUAUAUCGUUGAUUGUGAUGACGAAGCAGAGUAUUUUCCAGACGAGGAUAUAGGAAUGACGCUGCCCACCUCUCUCACUCAACUGGAACUUUCGGGAUUCAAAAAAUUGAUAUCUCUGUCUUCGACGGGUUUUCAGAGCCUCACCUCUCUUCAAAGAUUGCGGAUCUGGGAUUGCCCAAAUCUCACAUCAUUUCCAGAGGUGGGCCUUCCAUCCUCACUUUUGGAAUUACACAUUUACAAAUGUCCAAAGCUUAAAAAAGCGUGCAAAAGAGAUCAAGGAAAAGAGUGGCCCAAAAUUGCUGACAUCCCUUGCGUUGAGAUAGACAAUAAAUUCAUAUACGAUCCAGAAUAAGAGGAGUAGAUUCUACUAUUAAGGUCAGUUGAUUUGUAUUAUCCGCUAUAACAAGCUCCUCCUUUUUUUUUUUUAAAUAAUAAUUUUGCAGUCACUCACGUGAUUCCGUUUUCACAAGUCAGAUUGUAUGUUGAGGCUAUUUGCCUUUUAGUCGCAGAUUAAAUUAUAACACUUAUCUUAAAAUUUAAUACCAUAGACAGAUAGACGAUUUUUUAAUCCAAAGUUUUUUUUAUUCACUUCAGUUAGCAUUUUUUUUUUUCCCCAAAUCAUGCAAGCCGAGAGUUUCAAUCAAGAAUUGGAGCAUGGGAAUGGAAUUUUUGUGAAAACAUAAUGGAUGAACGAACAUUUCAUCUGUGAUCUCAAAGUCAACAGAAUUUUAUUCACUCAAUGACUUUUCAACUGCUGUGGUUAUUUAUGGGUGAAAGAAAGAUAAGGGCAAUUACAAAAAAUUUGCAAAAUUUGUCAAUUUCUUAGAUGGUAGAUAUAUCGACAUUUUAGAUUUCAGAUAUUUGUCACCAAUUUCAUUCCUUUUUUUUUAUUUUUUCAAGCAAGUUUGACUAAUUUUAACCAGAAUUGGAGUAUAAUAUUUUGGAGCAAGCAUACUUGAAAUUUCUGUCUUCAAUAUUUUGAUGCUUUUUUAAUUUUGGAUCUAGUAAAAAUACAUAGCCUUCACCGGCAGGAUUCUAGUCUUGGCUUUCACCUCUCUAACUCAUCCGGCCCCAUUGGGAUUCCAGAAAUUGAAAUUUCUGUCUUCAAGGGGUUUUCAAAGCCUCGCCUCCCUUCGAUUUUUGUGGAUCGGGAAUUGCACAAAUCUUACAUCAUUUCCCGAGGUCGAGGAAAAGAGCGGCCCAAACUUGCUCGCAUCCCUUGGGUUAUGAUAGAUGGAAAAUUCAUAUACGAUCCAGAGUCAGAGGUGUUGAUUCUCUUAUUAAGGUCAGCUGAUUUCUAUUAUCCACUCUGACAAUCUCCUAUUAGUGUUUUUCCCUUUUUUUUUUUCAAAAUUUUGCAGUUCCGUAUAAUUGAAAAUGCCACUCACUUGUUUCCUAUUAGUAUGUUGAGGCUAUUUGCUUUCUAUCGGUGUUUGUUAAGGUAAUUACUCACAGAUGAAAUUAUAACUUUUAUCUUAAAAUUUAUUGCCAUUGACAGAUGGACGAUUUUUAGUCCAAAGUUUUGUUAUUAACUUCAAUCAAAAUUUUAGAUUGCAGAUUUUUGUCAAUUAUUUCAUUUUUUAUUUUUAUUUUAAAGCAGAAUUGGAGUAUAACAUUUGGAGCGCGCAUACUCUGAUGCAUGCAAUUAACUGUUUUUAAUCGUUGGAUUUUGAAAUUAAUGAUGGUAAGAUGUGUACUUAUUUUUUCUUCCGGACAACCUUGCCUUCUUUCUUCGGUAGCAUAUCUAAUGAAUAUUUCUCUGUUUAGUUAAGGAUGAAUGCUUGGAGUGGUCUGAUUCACAACAACACCUCUUCCAGAAAAUAUGAUACAAGGCAAAGCCAUGUUCUGAAGCAGAAAUGAUACAGCAGUUGCGGUACCCGAGGUACCUUUUGCAUUUAACUUGCCUUUAUUUGUUUUGCUUGUGACUUAAGAACACAUCAUUUCCCAGAGAUUUGGAGAAGCAUCUCAAGAUGCUUAACAAACUUGACAAGCUUCAAGAUGCACUUGCUCCCAAGCAUUGAUUCUUCACAAUGGAAAACCUGUGAGUACACUUAUGCCCGCAAUUAUUGUUAAGUGUUUGCAAUUUUGAUGCAGCGAAAUGGUUUGUGGAUGCAAAGCUUUAAAACUGUUAAGAACUACCCUGCAGGCUUGUUGGAUGUUGUAUACUUCAAAAGCCACCAACACCAAGAACUACAACAGCAAGACUAGGUUUGCGUUGCUUCAAUCAGCUGAAAUAAUGAUGCAAAUGACACUAUCAAGCUGGACUUAGAGACUUGUCAGGUCAAUCAUCCAUUUCAUCAACAGUUAAUGUCAUGAUGGUGGCUAUCAGAGGAAACAAAAGAUCUGUUGGAAUCAAUUCAAACAGUGAGAAGCAUGAGAGGAGCAUUGAUUAUAAAUAGGCUCAAUGAGCUCAUGCUGGUAAGUGGUAAUUAAGAAAUUUGUGAGCUUAGUAUAGUUUCAAUUUUUUUCUGUUUGGGAUAUAGUUGAUAAGUUGAUACUCUGAUUAAGAAGCCUGAUUAUAGUAGCUGACUGUGCUAACUGCGUUCUUUUAUUUUUUAUUUUUUUGGUUUGCCGUCGUUUUUUCUUUUGAUUAUUUGUUCAACAUUAGAUUGAUCUGUUGAAGACUACGAGGAAGAUCCAGACUUGGAUGCAGGCGUGCAGCUCGUAAUAGGUGAGAACAAAUGAAUGCUUUAACCAUGUUUCUCACUUAUGACAAUGCACGGAUCAAAGGCAUCUGAGUUGAUCCUGAAAAUGUGAUGGAAAUAGGUCUCUGUUUUCAUAAAACAGAACAAAUAGAGAUCUCUGAUCACGCCUGAGAAUUCAUUGCAUUGAAAUUUCUACCAUUGGCAAACAUAGAAUAAACUGGGGAUACAUUAGCUUUAGACUCUAUUUUGAGGAGGAAGUUUGUACUUGCAGCCUAUAAAAUCAUAUCCCUGUUGUAUGUUUCUUUGGGAAAUGAAAGAUUCUGUGUGUUCUUUUAUUUCAAGUUUGCUGAAAUCACAUUUGUUUUCUAAGAUGCUUUACAGAAGGUACCAACAUCAUUUUCAAAAAUGCUGGGGUAAGAUACAUCGUGCAGUGCUCCUCAACAUGAGAAUUCCUGGCCGCAUUACCCAUAUGUGGAAUGAUCUGAGAGUACAACCGUGAGAAUGUUGUAAGGAGUACACAACCAGAUGUGAGUAGUUUGAAAAUGAAUUCGCAUGGAAUGAUUUCUUGCCAGUGCAGAAAUGGCUUGGUUCAAAAUAUGCUCAGCUUCAUUGACACUCUUCGGUAGGCCUCUCCGUCCUUCCAUUCUUAACUACAAUACUACUCUUGUCUGUCUAGUUAUGGAAUCUCUCUUUUAAUCCUCAAAGUUUGAAUUAUAUUAUAUUGCCUCUGUGUUACCGCAGAAACUGAGUCAGUUGGUGAUCCUUCAAAACAAGAAAAACCAAAAACAGAUACAGCGCGCGAUAAGAUAAUGAGACAGAUGGCUCCCGUUGCUGCAUGCCACUUGCUUGUGUGCGUAUUGGGACCAUCAUCAACAACAUUGACGUAAACCCAGCUCAAGGUGGGAAGCUAGUUCGAGCUGCAGGGACGUUAACCAAGAUUUUGAGAAAGAACCCACUUCAAGGUGUUGCUUAGUUAGGCUACGUUGUGGAAAUGAGAAAGUGAUUGACCCUAGAUGUCGCGCCACCAUUGGUACAGUGUCUAACCCCAGCCAUGGAGCUAAAAAGCUUAGUAAGGCAGGUCAGAGAAGUUGGUUGGGUCGAAGAGCUGUGGUUAGAGGAGUAGCCAUGAUUCCAGUUGAUCACCCUCAUGUUGAACAAAGCAAAAGUAGCGGUAACAAUGGAAGGUGUUCACUCACACCUUGGGGCAAGCCUUGUAAGUCUGGGAAUUAAACUGCAUCUCCUAAGAAGAAAGAGAAAUCAGCUGUCUGAUAAUAUUGUCCUUUUCUGCUAUUUGGUCUUUUUAACAUUGUUACACUGUUUUUACAUCUUUGAGGUUAGUUUUAGACCAAUUUUUAACUGAUCCAUAAUGAAACUGAAGUUUAAUUUUUGAUUAAACUUUCACUGGUUUUACUCUUCUGUCACUUCAAUUUAGCAUUGAUUUAAGAUACUGAAUUCUGUGCUUGGAGCUUGUAAAUUGGAAAGAGAUAUUUUGGGAUAGAAUGUAGAUUUUGUGUUUUGCUUUCUCAAGCUAGUUGUGACUUCUUAAAAGAGUCAAUCCAUGUCUUUAUAUAUUUUUCUUUUGUCUUGAUUCUGUUUCUUCAUACAGAUUCUUAUUUUAUGCUUCACAUACCACAUGAAAGAUGAAAGCCUUUUCUGUGAUUAGAAUUGACUUGCAUUAUAGUAACUUUAAACCACUUGGAUAUUUUUAUAAUAGCAGUCUGAGAUCUCCUUAAAGGAUUCAAAAGCAUCCACUGGCAUCCACUUUACUCGUAUCGGUCAAAAGUUUUGUGCAAUACAAUAUUAGCUUGACUGUAGCGCAGAGGAGAACAGGUUGGUGUUGGUCUGAAUUCUGAUAUUUGAAUAAAUAUAACAGCUCAUGUGACUCCACCACUUUUUACUUGUUCUGUAGUCUGUACCUACCUCCAUUGUCGGCACUGCCCAUACAAGGUCUUUUAGCUUUUUAAAAAGUUUCAUGAUAUUCCAUAGUUCACAUGGAUUUCUACAGUUUGUAGAAAACCUAAUUAGGGCACAUUUAAUUACUAUGCAGAAGAUUCUUUUAUCUUGCUCACCAAUAAUUCUUUGUACUUAUUUGAAAGAUGUGUUUCAAAAAAAUAAAAAAAAACUAUUUGAAAGAUGAGAAAUCCCUUAGCCGAACGACAAACUCAUCUAUCAGUCCUAUCAAAAAAAAAAAAACUCAUGUUUUAGUGGUUUUUUUUUUUCACUUGUAUUCAGUCGCACAAGUGAAGAUUGUGGGCAAUUUUUUCCUUGAGUAAAAUUGGAAUAGAUGUUUUUAUUGACACAAAUUUUUGAGCUAUGUUUGGGAAACCCUUAGACUUAAGACUUUGUUACGAUGAUAUGUAUCUAAGCUUUCAACAGACCGUUGAGGUCUUAUUAUCAAAAUACUAGAAAUUUACAAUUCAAUUUUGGUAAGGACCAAUUUAAUAAUGCUGUAAUUUUUAAAAUAAUUACCGUUAACUGUGUUGUAAAAAUAAUCAAUUAUGAAGAAAAUUAAUUAAACAUUUAGUAAACUUUAUUUUUACAAGUGCUUUGAAUUUUAAAAAUAGUCAUAUGUGUUCAGAAAAUCUCACUUCUAAAAUAGUAUAAGAAUGGAAAAAACUUAAAAAGACAAAUGUAUAAUAUUUAUUUACACAUGCAUUUAUAAAUAUGUGUAUAUAAUAACAUUUUAUGUGUACAUAUAAUAAUUGAUAACUAAAAUAAAUAUUUUUAUUUAUUAAUUAUUUUUUUGUCUCAAUGUAAUUGGUAAUACUUUUUUUUAAUCUUCUCAUCCUAAGUUUUUUUAUUGUUUUGUACAAAAUUCAAGGUUUGGACUUUUAUAAAAUGUCCACUCAAAAAUAAAUUGUUUUCUAACUAAGAUUUGUUGCUAAUGUAUAACUCAAAGUAAUACUAGCUAUUUGUAAUUUUAUUUCAAAAUUUUUAUUCAAAUGAUAUGGUAACUAAUGUACAUUAGUUGAUAGCAAUUUUUUUUUUUUUACAAUAUUCAAAUCAAUCAAUUGCAUCAUCUCAACAUUUUUAUGAUGUCGUGUUAUUUUAAACGAAUUUUUUAUUUUUAUAUAAAAUUUAUUAUGUUUAACAUCAUUUGCAUAACUUGACCUUUUUUUUUUCCUACAAAUAUUAAGUCAAAUUUACUCACCCUAUAUUUCUAUCUAAAAUCUACCUAAAACUCAUGCAUCACUGUAAAACAAAUCCAAAGAUUGCGGUACGUUUUUCUUGGUAACAAAUCAAUAAUUAGGUCAAGUACUACUACUAAGCGUGCUCAAUUAAUUCUAAAAUACUACGGUGAUCAAAAUCAUACUUGACGCAAGAGGAUAAGGGCUAAACCUCAAUUAGGCAUUAUUCAUCCAAAAUUCGUUGACCCGGCAUUCUUUGCAAGUUGUAGCACGGGACAGCUAAGAUUAGCAAAUGCUGUGGACCAUAUGCCCCCAUACAUUUGUGACAUGUGAAACUUGGCAUUAAAGGAAAGGCAACGUGUUAAAAUUUAAUAGCGCCCAAUUCUUCAUUGAAUGAUUAUCAGAUCCAAUGAGCAUCCUUUGAUUGGAUUAUUUUAAGUCAAUUAUUGGUGGAUUGGGGCCCACUUGACUCUACCAAAUCGGGCUCCACCAUAUCACCUAUUAACGACCACCUGUCCUUAUCAUAAAUAGCAAAUGUCACUUGUUUUAUUUUGUAUUUUACCAAAAGCAAAGUCACUAUGAACCCAAAUGAAAGUGACCCCAAUUUUGGGGGUCAUGAGCUUUGGAUUAUUAUGGACACAAGAGACAAGCGCAAAGUUUCUCAUUUAUCACCGGAUAAGAUUUAAGUUAUCAACCCAACAUUAAUAAAUUCUGCUUAAAGUAAAGUUUGAAGCUUCAUUUUGCGAAUAUUCAAUGGUUAACAUUUAAGUAAUUAACCUGAUAUUAAUCCAAUUAAACUUUUUAUGUAAUCCAAGUCAAAAAUAUGUUGAUAAACCUAAAUUAAUCUAAUUGGACAUAUUAUUUCAACUUGAAAAGGCGAAUCUAUCAUUUUUCAAUUAAUUUUGAAUCAAGCUAUGUAAAAUAUAAGCUUAUUAAAGACAUAUUUUUAUCAUGUUAAAAUAUCGAAAUACUUCUUACUCGUUUCGUAAUAACAUUAACAAACCUUUUGGUAAAUUUGACAGUCCAAUCAAUUCAGUUGGUUUUUUGUUAUUGAAACUCCAACAAAAUUCAUCACGAUUAUUAAAAACCCAUUAAAAAAAAAUGAAGGUAACUAUUUAAAAAAUUCUAAUUGAAUUAUUUAACAACUACAUUUCAACUAAAUUGUGUUGCUAAUUAACUUCCUCAACUUAAACUAUAUUUUUCUCAAUUAAUUCAUAACAAAUAAUGUUAGAUAUUUUAUUCGAAUAAUAACAUUCAACAUCCUUAUUCUUUAUGAUUAUUGCAUAAAAACAUAUUUUAUCCAUUUACAUCACAUAUGUUCCUAAAUUGUAUAAGAAAAUCACCAAAUUUACUCUUGUAAGUUACUAUAUCAAUGAACAUGAAAUUCACUAAUCAUUAAAGUCUCGGAAUGACAUCAUGAGAGGGAUUCAGUUACAUUUAUUGAUAGGAUUAGAUAUAUGUCUUCUCAAAUAUUAGUAGGAGCAAUUUAACAGAUGCAGCUACUAAAAAUAUAGAAUUACUUAUCUCGUCAAUAACUAACGAUAUUUUUUAUCUAUGCUCAAUAAAUUGUAAUAUUUGUAGAUUGUAACAAUUGUUAAAAAAAAAGAGCUCCCUGAGACUAAAUGACAAAAGGACUGUUUUGAAAUAGAUAGAUAAAAUAUGCCCUUAUUUGAGAAAAUGUAAAACACUAGGGAUCUAAAUGUUAUUAUAAUCCCAUGCACAAAAAUACCAAAAAUAACUAAUAACAACUAACCGAAAAUCCCAGGCGUCAUAUUCCUUUUUUCCGCGUUUUAAAAUGCCCUCUGAUUCAUUCACAGUCAGACGCUGUCGGCAUUUCUCUUCUCUCCCUCUCUCUCCACGUAUUAAAACAUGUAAAGUACGGAAAAAUUUAAAAAAAAUUUUAAAAUUACAUAAUUUAAAAGAUAUAAAAUUAUAAAUUUUUAAAAUUAUACGGUUUUAAAAUUUUUUUAAAUUUUUUCGUAUUUUAAAAUUUCAGACUAAAAAAUUAUUAUACGAAUACUUCGUAUAACCGCUUUGCGCUUAAAAUCUGUGCCUAACAAACUCACGAAAUCACUCCUCAUUUUCCUCUCUCCCUCUCCUCCUCUCAUUCCCUUUCAAAUCCUUCCACCACCUUCCCCGCCUCUCUCUCUUUCUCUCUCCCCUCACCGCCACAGCUCAACUUUUCCAUGUAAACCACCACGGGCGCCGUCGUUUCAACCUCCCACUCAUCCGACGUCGUUUUGUGUGAAUAAGAUAACGAUUUAAAUUAAAAUACGAAAAUGGAGAACUUAACGGCGCAGUUGAAGCGAGGGAUAUCGCGGCAGUUCUCGACGGGAUCGCUGCGGCGGAGCCUGACGAGGCAGAUGUCGAGGCAGUCGUCGUUCGAUCCGAGGAGGAAUAACAUGAGGUUUAGCUUCGGGAGGCAGUCGUCGUUGGAUCCGAUACGCAGGAGUCCGGUUCAGGACGAGUUGACGGUGCCGGAGAACCUUGACUCGACGAUGCAGCUGUUGUUUAUGGCAUGCAGAGGUGACGUCAAGGGAGUCGAGGAUUUGCUGAACGAAGGCAGUGAUGUCAACAGCAUUGAUCUUGACGGACGGUUUUGGCGAGAAAUCAAAGAAUUAAGAGACAAUAUUUAGUUAAGCUAAUAGUAUUUGUUCUGUUUAGUACGUCGUUUUACCAACAAGCAUCCCGGCAUUGCACGCAUUAAUAAAUUUUUUUUAUCUGUUUGGACUGAUGGUGGUAAAAAAUUCCACAUACUUUAUAUUAAAAAGGAAAAAGGACAAACACACCCCUAACGUCAACUUGGAGGGGGGUCGAUUCCGAGCUCAAGAAGUGGGAAAGAAGAAAGCUGAAGAUGAUUCAGGCGGUGCUCAAUGGUGGGUAUGACGGCAAAAAUAAGUUGGAGGUUUUCUAUGAAUUUGAACAUCUAAGAACAUUCUUCCCAUUACACAUAAGAGGUGGCUCCAAAACUGGUUACAUAACUCGUAUGGUUCUAACUGAUUUGUUGCCGAAGUUUAAAAGGUUGAGGGUGCUAUCUUUACAAGGAUACCAUAUUGGACCAAUUCCAUUUGAAGAUUUGAGACUUCAAAGUAUAAUUACCCAAAGUGUAUACAAUAAAAGCCAAAUUUAAGAAAUUCCUGAACCUUGCUGACACUGACAUAAGAAGUUUACCAGAGUCAACAUGCUCAAUGUUGAACUUGGAAAUUUUGAUAUUAAGAAAUUGUUUCCGUUUGAUGAUACUCCCACCCAAAAUGAGGAACUUGGUUAAUUUACACCCAGACUCUUUUCUUUUGACAUGGGGUUAACGAUCAAAGUUGGUUUCGUGCGGUAUAUAUUUACAAAUUGAUAGGUAUGCCUGGUGUUGAUGCAGGAUUCCGGUUCUUCUCGUUCUACGACCAGGAUCUCUGCUCGAUCAACUUCGUCACGACCAGGAGGUCUCCUCGCAAGACUUUUUCUCCAGAGAUUCCUGCGCACACAGACAAGUCAGAGUACGCCGGUUGUUUUCCCGGCGCAAACCCUCCGACGCUCAAGUCAGAUAUGAAGGUUCGGGGAACGCUUGCCACCGAUCUUAUGGCUUUUUCGUGGUUUUCUCUUCUUUUUAAUUCCUUUUCUAAUGAGAAAAAUGCCAACCCUUUUACCUCGUCGGCUACCUUUUUAUAGGCUUCCUCUGAAUCCCAGUUUUCCGCUCUUUUCGAGACGGUAUGGGACUCUGACUGCUGUGUUAUGGGCAAACGUGGGAUCUUGCGUGUUACGCCACCGUUCUGGGAAAAGCGCGGCAGUCGUGGUUCUGUGAGAUCUUGCGUGUUACGCCACGGUUCUGGGGAAAGCGUGGCUGUCGUGCUUAGGUUCUCGGGCUGGAGAGCAUGUCUCGUCAACUGCCGUCGACCGGGUCUCCUCGCCUCUCGACCUCUAGCCGGAAUGACCUUAUGCCUCUUACAGGAAAUUGGCCUCGCGGAUGACCUGCUCGUGGACGAGCAGGAUAUUUCUGCUCCUGUUCCCCCGCGUACCAGGCUUUUACGGGACACACCGGUUCGCAGAACUCUGCCAUCAGAUAUCUGCUCACCGUGCCUGGUCUCGUCGACGUAUUUCUCCCAAACACCGGUCCCCCAGUUUCUGGUGUUGGGUAAUGUAGUGGACCAGCAGUAGAAACUCGUUAGUACUCGCCCGCGUGGGAUUGGAAAAGGCUGCCAAGAGUCAUGUCGCAUUUAAUUGCGGACGAGGUGACGUGGCAGAAAUCCCCCCCUCCAUUUGAAUUUCAAACCGACGGUUAUGAGAUCCUCGGGAUUCAGCGCCGUUAAAUGCUGGCAACCCAAGAGUCCGUCCUCAUUAGGAAAACCAAAUCCUCUCGAACGGCAUAUUCGUCAUUCACUCCGUCUCCGUCUCUGUCUCCCCGGCAAAGAGGUUCCGGCAUAAAAGCCCUCCAUCUCUGAUUUUCACCGACUGAACCGUUACUUCAGGUAUUUCUUCUAUCUCCUUGGUCUCGGAUAGUUGUAGAUAAUUUCUCUUCUCUUCUGUUGGGUAGUAGUUGGUGGUGUUGUGGUUAGAGCUUAGGGAAUGUCGAAAGGCAAAGAGAAGGUCAUUGAGGUUGGUGACGACGAGUUGGACUUCCUGCCUAGUCUGCUCACCGAUCCUGCUUUUGACCCCGGGAUCCCCUUAGAGCCCAUUAGGUCUAGUGUCGGGACUAGUGCUAGGAGGAUGUCUCCCCAAACAACCUCUACGAGCGGAAGUAAUGGUGAGGAGAGAUCUUCUGGCUCCGAGGAUACUUUGAGUGAGAAUGGCGAAGGUGACUCUGGUGAGGUGUCUCCAUCUGGAACAUCACGACCAGAAGAACGGGGUAUAGUAGGAGGCAGAGCCUUGUCGCGCGAUUAUGCCAUUGAUUACAUGACGUGCACGACCUCGUUUGACGAGCUCAAUGACCUCCGGCUUAGGUAUAGCAUUCCUGGUGAGAUACCUCUCAAGGUCCCAGGAAAGAAGGAUGCUCCCAGCCGGCCUCCUAGGGGAUAUGUUACCCUGUAUCUGGACAGCUUUAAGUACGGGCUGAGGUGUCCCUUGCAACCUUACUUUGCCCGGAUACUUAACGGGCUAAAUCUAGCUCCUGGUCAGCUGAAUCCCAAUGGGUGGAGAGUGCUCUCUGGUCUGUUCAUAUUGUGGGACAGAUGUUGCCAAAGCGAGCCCACGGUUGAUGAGGUGAAGCACCUGUACCAGCUAAAGAGCAGCCCCAAAGAUGCCGUCUGGUACUACUUCCAAUCUAGCACCAAGAGCAGGAAACCUAUAACCGACCUCCCUACUGGUGGUGGUGGGAAUUGGAAGAGAAAAUUCUUUUUUGCUGGGGGUCCUUGGGGUCAGGUUGCACAAAUGGACGGGAAGGAUUAUCGGGUCCCACCCCGUUUCACGGUCCCAGGUUGCCUGCUCGCUUUAGAUGUCUUGUAUCCACAAUUGUUAUUGCUUUAUUGGCUUGUCUCUAACCAAGUGUCUGUUUGCGUUGUAGUUUCUUGGGGUGUUCACUUCCCGCUCCCACCUGACCAGCUCAAACGGGUCAAGGCUGUGCUCGCCAAUUCCUGCUCGAGUCGAGAACUGCUAACUACAUACAACUUGCUCGAAUCUCGCUUGAUACUUCCUGGCCAUAGGAUGGAGGACGCCGUGAUUGGGGCUCUGACCCGAAAACGUUCUCGACCUCCAACCACGAAGAGGGACCAGGGUAAGGAUGCCCCUGCUGCAAAGCGGGCCAGCAUCGUGCAGCAGGUCCCACCCUUGGAGAUUUUACCUCCUGCUCCUGAAAAAGUCGGGGAAGCUAGUGGAGCAGCCACAGAUCCUGCUUCCUCAUCUGUUCCUGUCGGGCCUCGAUCUCGCUUACCUGACAGCCGAGCAGAACACCUGGUCCCCUACCUCAAUGAGUUGUCUAAACUCGUGAGCAAGAAGGACCUGGAGGACUUCGACGGCUGCACCUUGGGUGAGCUGGUGGGGGCCAUGCAGCAUAGCGCUUUCCACCUCAGCUGCAUGACCACCUAUUACAAGGCUAAGGUUGGUCGAUACGAUCGGAAAAUGAAGGGGGAUAUUCAAUCGGCGACGACCAGAGCUGACAUUGCCGAGAAGAAAGCAGGGGAGCUGAACCUCGAGAAUCUGAAGCUGAUAGAGCAAGAAUCACUUGCUCAAGCAAAGACCAUUACCCUCGAGGAGGAGCUUACCAAGGUCAAGGAGGAUCUGCAAAGGCAGAAGGCUAUGUAUGAGGCCCAGCUCGAAUCUCUCCGGGACUCCAACCGAGCUCAGGUCGAGAACUUGGAGAGGGAGGCAGAGAAUCAGUACGACCAGGGACUUCGGCAUUCCUAUCGUUGCAUCAUGGCCGUCCUCGGGAAGCAACACCCUGAUCUGAAGAUGGAUGACCUUGCGGCUGGUGUUGCCCAACAUAUGGACGAGGAGGCGGCCAAGGAAGAUGCUGAAGGGGUAGAGCCGAUCGUGAUCGAGGAGGAAAGCUCUCCUCCUCGUGCAGUCCCUGCUGAUGUUGGCGAGGCGAGCACCCCUCCGGACGCAACUGGCGAUACCCCUCCCGCACCUGAGGAGGUCCAGUCAACCGAUGCUGCUCGGCUCACUGAUCUACCAUCUUUUUGAUAUAUUUCUUUUUGUAUUGUAAUAAACAACGUUUAUGAAAUUUAUCCCCUCUGUUAGCCAUUAACACAUUAAUAAAGAUGUUUUUUGAUUACUUUCUCGUCUUGUAAUCAUCACUUAUUUUCCGUUUGGGAAUCUGCUCGUCUCGUCUGGUCGAGCAGGUUCUGGUUUGGCAUAUGGUUUUGCAACAUGCCUUAGAAAAAUUUCUUUUUUUUUUUUUUUUUUUUUUUUUUUUUUUUUUUUUGCUUGGGGAUUCUGCUUGCCUUCGCGUGGUCGAGCAGGUCCUGGCAUGCUUGGCUUCAGUCUCGCCAUAAAAAGGCUUUGAGACUUGGUGAGGCCUUUGCAUGCCUUAGAAAACUUUUUCGAUGCUUGGGGAUUCUGCUCGACUUCGCUCGGUCGAGCAGACCCUAGCAUGCUUGGCUUCCGUCUCGCCAUAAAAAGGCUUUGAGACUUAGUGAGCCUUUGCAUGCCUUAGGUGGCUUCUUCAAAGCUUGGGAUUCUGCUGCCUUCUCGUGGCCGAGCAGAUCCGGGCAUGCUUGGCUUCUGUCUCGCCAUAAGACAGGCUUUGAGACUCGACGAGCCUUUGCAUGCCUUAGAUGGCUUCUUCGAAGCUUGGGAUUCUGCUGCCUUCUCGUGGCCGAGCAGAUCCGGGCAUGCUUGGCUUCUGUCUCGCCAUAAGACAGGCUUUGAGACUUGACGAGCCUUUGCAUGCCUUAGAAAUUUUCUUGGUUUCAAGCGAAAGGAAUUCCUCGACGUUCCAUUAAUGGCAGGAUUCGGCUUACAUGAACUUGUUUGGACAUAAAGCGUGAAAGAUAAACGAUAAUGAUCAUGAGCAAAAAUAGCUUUCAGAUGUGAACAAAUCUUACUGGAAGUAUUUUCGGAGGUGUGCUGCGUUCCAUGGGCGUUUCAGCUCGUGGCCGUCCGUGCGAACCAGCUUGUAAGCUCCGGGUCCCGCUAUCUGCUUGACUCUAUAUGGCCCUUCCCAAUUCGGUCCCAGCACUCCUUGAGUCGAAUCUUUGGUGCUCUGAUUCACUCUUCUCAGUACCCAGUCUCCGACCUUGAAUUGCCGUAUGUUCACCUUCUGGUUAUAAUACCGAGCAACCCUCUGUUGGUAAAGGGCUGAUCGCUCGGCUGCUUGCUCCCUCCUUUCCGUUAGCAGAUCAAGAUUCAAACAUAUCUGCUCGUCGUUCUCCUGCUCGUUGAAAUGACCUGUCCGGUGUGUGGUCGUUCCUAUCUCAGCCGGCACGACCGCUUCAUGUCCGAAAGCCAAAGCGAACGGUGUCUCCCCAGUUGCGGUUUUGUGGGUUGUUCUGUAUGCCCAUAGCACACCUGACAGCUCGUCAACCCACGCACCCUUUUUUGCUCCAAGCCUGGUUUUCAAAAGCCUCUUGAUGGUCUUGUUGGCUGCUUCUACUUGUCCAUUCGAUUGAGGGUGAGCAGGCGAGCAAUACUUCAGCUCUAUCCCGAGGUUCUGGCAGAAAUCCCUGAAGCUGUGAUUAUCGAACUGCCUGCCAUUAUCCGUUACCAAGGCAUAAGGGAUCCCGUAUCGACAGACCAGGUUUCUCCACACGAAGUCUGUUGUUUUCUUCUUUGUGAUCCUGCUAAGGGCUUCUACCUCUAUCCACUUCGUGAAGUAAUCUAUAGCAACUAUUGCAUGUGUUGCUGCUCCUUGUGCCUUUGGCAAUGGGCCGAUCAGAUCAAUUCCCCAUUGAGCAAAUGGCCAAGGGGAGGCCAUGGAGGUGAGCUUCUCUGGGGGUUGGUUAGAGAAAUUUGCAAAACUCUGGCAGCUUACACAACUCCUGGUCUUCUCUUGCGCAUCCUGGUGCAUUGUCGGCCAGAAAUAUCCCUGCCUAAGAACCUUGUGGGCCAGGGACCUCCCGCCAGAAUGAUUUCCGCAAAUUCCUUCAUGUACUUCUCUCAGUACGUAAUCCGCGUCGUCCUCAUCCAAACACCGAAGGAACGGUAGUGUAUAUCCUCGCCGAUACAGCGCCCCAUCAAUCAUCGUGUAUCUCGAGGCCUGGGCUCUAAUCUUGCGAGCUCGCAGCUUAUCUGGUGGUAAUACUCCGUCUCUAAGGUAUGAAACUAUCGGGUCCCUCCACGAGCAUUUUUGUUCUAUCCGCAACACCCCCGAAUUCUGAUCGAUACUUGGGCUGGACUUCACCUCCAGAGGGACCGACUUUGGCAUUUUUGGGUCGGCUACUGCUGCCAUCCUCGCCAAAAUGUCUGCUCGACUAUUCUGCUCCCUGGGGAUCUGUACCACCUCCACUGCUUCGAACUUCCCCAUCAUCUGCCUGACUAUCUUCAGGUACUGCUCCAUCUUCUCCUCUCUUGGUUGGAAUCUUUCACUGACGUGAUUCGCAACCAGCUGGGAAUCAGUUCUGAUCUUAACUCUGUCUUCUUUCACGGCCUUAGCCAAUUCCAGACCUGCUAUCAAGGCUUCAUACUCUGCCUGGUUAUUUGUGGCUGCAAAUUCCAACUUUACAGCAUAAGAGAUCUCCUCCCCCUCAAGGCCUUCCAGGACAAUCCCUGCUCCUGAACCCCGCUCCCCUGAUGACCCGUCCACAGACAUCUGCCAUACUUGAUUUUCGUCAUUGCCUAUAACUGCAUCCUGUUGAUCUGAGCAUACUUCGGGCUCUGUGAAUUCAGCUACGAAAUCGGCCAUUGCCUGGGCUUUUAUCGCUGCGCGGGGUUUAUAGUCUAUGUCGAACUCGCUCAGCUCUACAGCCCACUUGACGAGCCGACCAGAGGCAUCUGGCUUGUGCAGAGUUUGACGCAAUGGCUGGUUUGUUAUUACCGAGACCGGGAAUGCUUGAAAAUAUGGCCUCAACUUCCGAGCAGCAACCACAAGGGCAAGUGCCCAUUUCUCCAACAGUGGGUAUCUAGUCUCAGCGUCGAGUAGGGCCUUGCUGGUGUAGUAUAUCGGAUACUGAACUCCUUCUUCCUCUCUCACCAGAACAGAACUGGCGGCCCGAUCCGACACCGCCAAAUACAGAUACAACUUGUCCCCAUCCCUUGGUGUGGACAGCAGCGGAGCUUGCUGCAAGUAUUGCUUCAAGUUCUGGAAGGCUUCCUCGCACUCUGGGGUCCAUUCUGUUUUCUUUCCCCUCCUUAUCACUUGAAAGAAUGGCUGACACUUAUCUGUAGCCUUGGAGAUGAAUCUGCUCAACGCCGCCAACCUCCCUGUGAGGCUCUGCAUCUCCUUCAGGUUACGAGGAGACGUCAUUUGCACAAUCGCCUGGAUUUUCUCGGGAUUUGCUUCAAUCCCCCUAUGGCUCACCAUGAAUCCAAGGAAUUUCCCUGACUCGACCCCAAAAGCACACUUUUCCGGGUUGAGCUUCAUCUUAUACUUCCUCAAAAGCUCGAAUGUCUCCUCGAGGUGUCUGACAUGUUCCUUCGGGAUUUUGGACUUGGUGAUCAUGUCAUCCACGUACACCUCCAUGGUUUUCCCAAUCAACGGCUUAAAGACUUUGUUCACCAGCCUUUGAUAGGUGGCCCCAGCAUUUUUGAGACCGAACGGCAUUACCCUGUAACAGAACAAACCUUGGUUAGUGACGAAAGCCGUGCUCUCCUCAUCCUGCUCGUACAUGGGGAUCUGGUUGUAUCCCGAGAACGCGUCCAUGAAGCUGAGCAGACCAUGUCCAGCCGUUGAAUCUACUAGCUGAUCGAUCUUUGGUAGAGGGAAGCUGUCUUUUGGGCACGCCUUAUUGAGGUCUGUGAAAUCCACACACAUCCUCCACUUGCCGUUUGCCUUCUUUACCAACACCACAUUCGAUAUCCACUCAGGGUAACUGACUUCCCGAAUGAACCCUGCUCUCAAGAACUUCUCCACCUCGCUAUUUAUUGCCUCAUACAUCUCCUGGUUGAAGCACCUCCUCUUCUGCCUUACUGCCCGAGCACCUUUCUUUAUUGCCAGCUUAUGACAUGCUACCUCAGGGUCAAUCCCUGGCAUGUCUUCAUGUGUCCAAGCAAACACAUCAGAAUGAGCCUGUAAGCAUUUCACCAACUCCUGCUUUUGCUCUCCCUCAAGCCUCGACCCGAUUCUGAUCAUCUUUCCCGGAUUCUCUGGUCCCAGGCUUACUGUUUCCAGAUCUUCUACAGGUUCUUGUCUGCCCUUCUUGUUUUCCACUCGGGUAUCGAGGGAUGUUAUCUGCAUUGCUUCCCUUGCUGCCGAGGAGUAGCAGCUUCUUGCGAUCCUCUGGUCUCCUCGUACCACUCCUACUACCCCAUUCACCCGGUACUUCAGAGCGAGAUAGUGGUUGGACAACACCGCUUUGCUCAUCCUUAAAAAUGGCCGACCUAGGAUCAUCUGGUAAGGACCUUCCUCGUCCACUACGACAAAGUCCAGUAUCAUUGUUCUUUCUGUCAGGGAGCUCCCAAUUGUGAUAGGCAGCUCGACCACGCCCAGAGGGACCAGCUUCCCUCCUCCGAACCCCUUCAAGGAGGUAUUGGUGUAUUCCAACUUUCGGUCGGCUAUUCCCAUCUCUUCCAGGGUUGACUUAAAUAACACAUCAACUGAGCUCCCUGUAUCAAUCAGUAUCCGGUCAAACUUCUUGCUAGCGACAGUAGCCUUGAUGACUAAAGCAUCAUCGUGGGGGUAUAGAAUCCCUUCCUCAUCCUCAUCCGUCCACAUGAUUGGCACUUGCCUGACCCUUGCUCGUUUGGCUGCUGGGGUGUUGAAGAGUACCUCUUUACUGGUCAUGGCGUACCUAGCAUAAUUUUUUCUCGAUCUGUUGGAAUCUCCGGCCAAUGUUGGGCCCCCAGCUAUCACCCUUACUGCGGGCUGCUCGCGCCUCAAGUUUCUACCACUCUGCUCCCCUUCACCUGUUGUGGCCACCAUCGGGAAAGUCCCAUCCAUAAACUCGUCCAGGUACCGAUUUCUCACCAAAUCUUCGACCUGGAUCUUGAGAUCUCUACACUCUGCCGUGGUAUGGCCAUGGGUGCCAUGGAACUUACAAUAACGUCUUCUAUCCCUCCUGUUGGGUAGCUUUGUUAUUGGUGUAGGGAGGUGCAGCAGACCUCGAUCCUUUAUGGCCUCGUACACCUCAUCCAGGGACAUCUUCAAGGAAGUGUACCGCCCAUAGUCCGGGUCCUGGUCGAUCAGGUGCACUGCUCUUUCUCUGUUUGCCCCGCUUUGAGUUGGGGGCGGUGGAAGUAAUUCUGGUCUGCUCGCUCUGCUACCAUGUUGGUGAAGACCACCAGAUGCCGACUCAUGCCUUCUCCAAGGCUCCCUAGCUGGGGAACGAGGAGGUUGCGCCCCGCUGCGCUGAUACUGUGGUGGCCUCUGAUGAGGCUGGUAAGCAGUUACCCGACCUCCUGCUCUACUACCGGAGGCCUGGUGGUCUCUCCUCCUGAUCGGCCCAUUCCCCGGUAAUGCUUUCUUCUCUUUCCUCCCCAACCCUUCCAACUGGUCUGUCUUAAUCCGUGCAGCCUUCUCCUCUUCAAUCUCGAUGUCUCUCUUAGCCUGUUCGUAUGCGGCUGCAUACGUUUGAAUAGCUGGGCUUCUCAAAUUGUACCACAACCUUCCUAUCUUCACCCCUUCUUUCAAUCCCCUUAACGCCUGAGGGUGGUUGAAGGCUCCCAAGUCGAGGACAGCCCGAUGAAACCUCUUGAUGAAUUCCCGAAGGGUUUCUUGCUCCCCCUGUUUCAUGCUUUUCAGCUCCAUCAUGUCGUCUUCCGGUGCCAUUGCCCCACUAAACUGCUCCGCGAAUUCCUGGCACAUCUGCUCGAAGGUUUUAAUGCUGCCCCGAGGAAGUUUCCUGUACCAUUCUCGUGCACGUCCCUCAAGGGAUAGUGGGAACACCCUGCACCUUUGGGAUUGAGAUAAUCCUUGUACCCCAGUUAUGUCGUUGAAGCGCUCUAUAUGCACCAGCGGAUCAGUUCUUCCCGAGUAUCUGAGGUCUGGGAGGCGGAAAUCUCUCGGAAUAACUGCCCUCAUGAUUUCUGUUGCGAGCGGCGAUUCUCCGUCCAGCAUUAUCCUCCAACCAGGGGCUCUGUUCCUUCCUUGCAUGUCGUCAAUUAUCUGCGCUAGUCUGCGCACUUCCCCCUCCAGCUGCAACGCACGACCAGGGUCACGUGCUGCAACUUGAUCCCACUCUUGCUCUACAUCAUGCAAGUGUUGCCUCAACUCUGUUUCCUCUGCAUUCACCACCCCGUCGCCCUCGUCACCAGUCUGUCUUGCUGGGGACUGCUCUCUUUCUCUAUGAAAUUCUCCCUGCAGAGGUACGUUACCUCUCUCACCACCAAAUCUCCCGGGGGUUUGACUUCUCCCCGCACUAUCGGGACCUGGUGCCACUCCACCGCCUCUCACCCUUCCCUCUUGGGUUACCCUUCGCUCGCUCCGCAGCUCAUGCAGGAUGGUUGUCAAGGUCUCCAUCUGCUUUUCCAUCCGUUCCAUCUGGUCGAACAUGACUUUUUCCCGUGCUUCGCUGACUAUCUCCCUCAGCGUCACGGAAUCGUUAAGCCUCCUAUCACCCCCUUGUGCACUACUUCUUCCUGUCUCCAUUGCUUUUCACUUGCUUCACCCCUCUUCUUGCUAUCAACAGAAGCUUUUUGCUCUGGUCCCCACAGACGGCGCCAAAAUGUUGAUGCAGGAUUCCGGUUCUUCUCGUUCUACGACCAGGAUCUCUGCUCGAUCAACUUCGUCACGACCAGGAGGUCUCCUCGCAAGACUUUUUCUCUAGAGAUUCCUGCGCACACAGACAAGUCAGAGUACGCCGGUUGUUUUCCCGGCGCAAACCCUCCGACGCUCAAGUCAGAUAUGAAGGUUCGGGGAACGCUUGCCACCGAUCUUAUGGCUUUUUCGUGGUUUUCUCUUCUUUUUAAUUCCUUUUCUAAUGAGAAAAAUGCCAACCCUUUUACCUCGUCGGCUACCUUUUUAUAGGCUUCCUCUGAAUCCCAGUUUUCCGCUCUUUUCGAGACGGUAUGGGACUCUGACUGCUGCGUUAUGGGCAAACGUGGGAUCUUGCGUGUUACGCCACCGUUCUGGGAAAAGCGCGGCAGUCGUGGUUCUGUGAGAUCUUGCGUGUUACGCCACGGUUCUGGGGAAAGCGUGGCUGUCGUGCCUAGGUUCUCGGGCUGGAGAGCAUGUCUCGUCAACUGCCGUCGACCGGGUCUCCUCGCCUCUCGACCUCUAGCCGGAAUGACCUUAUGCCUCUUACAGGAAAUUGGCCUCGCGGAUGACCUGCUCGUGGACGAGCAGGAUAUUUCUGCUCCUGUUCCCCCGCGUACCAGGCUUUUACGGGACACACCGGUUCGCAGAACUCUGCCAUCAGAUAUCUGCUCACCGUGCCUGGUCUCGUCGACGUAUUUCUCCCAAACACCUGGUAUGACUGCUUAUGCUGGAUUUUAUGAGGUGUGCUCUCCUAAGCAAGGAGAGUGGGUCUUAAUAUGGGCAAGGGUGCAGUUGGUCAGCUUAUGGGGCAGUUUGCAAAGUUACUGGGCUGCUAUGUUGUCGGAAGUGCUGGAAGCAAAGACCAGGUAUACAAACAAACAAUCCGUAUCAGUUGCUUGAUUGUUCCCAUUUUGCUUUCAAAAUAUCUAACUUACAUAAGGAAAAUUUUCACCAUCUCGUCUUUUCUUUGAUUUUGAACGCUAAGAUUGAUCUACUGAAGAAUAGGUUUGGGUUCGAUGAGGCGUUCAACUAUAAAGAAGAUCCUGAUUUGAAUGCAGCCUUGAUAAGGUUAGUAUAUCAGCAAACUACAAAUUAGAAGACAUUUUUUCCUGAAAAUCAAAUAAUGUUUCUAAUUUGACAGGUGGUUUCCUGAAGGCAUUGACAUAUACUUUGAAAACGUUGGUGGGAAAAUGCUCGAUGCGGUGCUGAUCAACAUGAAAAUCGGUGGUCGAAUUGCUGUGUGUGGGAUGAUCUCGCAGUACAACCUUGACGAACCCAAAGGCGUACACAACUUGACGCGUCUUAUUUCGAAACGGGUUCGGAUGGAAGGAUUCCUCGUAUCGGAUUACAAUAAACUCUAUCCGAAAUUUCUGGAAAUGAUCAUUCCUCACAUCAAGGGGGGAAAGAUUGUAUACAUUGAAGACACGGCUGAAGGUCUUGAGAGUGCUCGGGCAGCUCUCGUCGGUCUGUUCUCUGGCCGGAAUCUCGGGAAACAGGUGGUUGCAGUUGCUUCUGAAUGAAUGAAGGAUUUGGUUGUUUACAUCAUGCUUCUACUCGUCCAUUUAUUUAAUAAAAUGGUUACGCUCAAUGAGUGUAAUUUUUAUGAUGCUAAAUUAAAUGUGGAAUGUGGCUGCUGGUUUGAUAAUGUUAAAAGUGCUAAAAAAUUUCAUGUUAGGCGCGGUGUGCGUCUGUAUAUCAUUUUUAGGUACGGGCAUUCUAUCUUUUUUUUUUAAUUAAUACAGACACAUUCUUAAACUGUAUGGUUUAAGAGAGAGUUAAAAAAAACUUUUACCACAUGGUUUAAAAGCGUAUCCGUAUGGAAAAAAAAUGAAAGUCCAUUGGAGAAGAAUUUUAUAUAUAGUCCAGGAUAUUAAAGUGCGGGAAAACUAUAGAGUUUUAAAAACUUAAAAUUUAAAACGUUUAAACUGCACGAUUUAUGUGUUUUUCGAUGUGAUCCCACAUUUUAAAAUUGUGGAUUGGAACAUUUGUCUUUGAGGGAAAAAAAACAAUAACAACAACUUCUUUUGGAGACCGUGGGGCUCAUAUGCAGAUUCAACCCCGAGCUAUACACUGGAUCUGGUGGGCUAGGUUUGAACCCAAAACAAGCUCUAUUCAUUACACGGUUCAGCGGGUUGGUCCAUUUGACGCUUCUAACUUAACAAUUUAAUCAUAAUAAAUUGAAAAAAUAAAAUAAAACCCACGUAUCUAAAUUAUUGUAUUGAGCUAUUGGUGCAGAGAAUAAGUAUAUAUGAGAACAAAAACAACACGAUGUAGUCGCUCGUUUUGUCACUUCUAAAAUCAGGAUUUAGAGCAUCACCAAAAGGCUCUUCAAAUAAGAUUUUAUUACUCAUUUGAAGAGCCACAUCAAUAUUUAAAGCUCCAAAAGACACUCUAAUUAAGAUUCUUCAAAUAAGAAUUGAUUCUCUCUCUUCAAAUUUGGAGAGUUAAUUUCUCCCUCUUCAAUUUAUAUUUUAUUACUUUUCAUUAAAAAAAGAGAGAGAAGUGCUUUAAUUGCUAUUGACUUUUCCUUUUAAAAACUAAUUAUAUGAUUAAAAUAAUAUUAACUUAUUUCUAUUUGAAGAGUCUUUUGGAAAAUAUCAUAUUUUUUCACCCUUCUAUUUGCCACAUAGGUAAGCAAAUAGAUAUUUGAAGAGUAAAAUUUAUAGAGGCUUUUGGAGAUGCUCUUAUGAUAGAGUCAUAGUGUUAACAGUACAUCGGUGUAUAAUUAUUUGUAAUGAAAUUAAUUAAUAUGGGUUUUAUGUUGUCUUUGUCAAUAAUCAAUUAAAUUUUUCGUUUUCAUUUAAAUGUUACUGAUCGAUGAAACAUUUGACUGCGUUCAAGUUAUCUUUUAAUUUUGUGAGAUCCACAUUGUUUUUAUUUCAAAAACAUAAUUUUUCAUAUUAUUAAAAAGCUGUUGCUUGGGCCUAGAGAAAUUGGAUUAAUGAAAUACCUUAAGGGUGUGUUUGACACAUUAUAUUGUAUUAUGUUGCAUUGCAUUAUUUUAUUUGGUGUUGCACUAUACUUUACUAAUUUUUUUGCAAUUAAUUUAAAUUACAUAGUUAGCAAAUAAUAUUUAUUAGUGCUUAGAAAAAUACUAAAUAUAGAAGUCUUAAAUUUUAGAAAUUUAACAAUUUUUUUACUAUAAAUGUUAAAAAAUAUAAUAAUUCUUCAUAAAGAUGGAAGCUUACAGCCUUAAGUUUUUGGAAGCAGAGCAUUUAUUUUUUAGUAUCUUCUAAAUAUAUAAUUUUUGAAAUAAAGAUAUAAGCACAUAAUUUAAUCACAUAGUCUUUAAAUAAUAUAACAACAUAAAUAAAUAGUUAAAAUGUGCAAGAUUAGUUCAAAACUCAUCUUAGGAUGAUAUAAUAAAAGUUUAUACACACCACAAGAUAAUCACAAAAUAAUAAAGUGAUAAAAUUAUUAUAACAUAUUCACUACCAAAAUAAAUUAUAUUAAAUAAUCCAAGUGAGAGUUCUGUAGUUUAUAUAAUAAUAUUAUUUAUGUUAUUAUUAUUAAUUUUAAAUUAAUAUUAUCCAAAUUUAUUCAUACUUAAAUAUGUAUUAUUAGUUAUAUUACAUUAUUUUUACAUAUUAAUUAUUGUAAUAUAAUUAAAUAAUGUAAAAUUAUAUUAUAUUUUUAUAUACUAUUUAAGUAUUUAUUAUUAAUUAUAUUCAAUUAUAAAUUUAUUAAUAAAUUAUAGUGCAAAAAAAAAUAGAAAUAAAAAUUAAUAUUGUAUAAUAAAUAACAUUCUGCUCCCAAUUUCUGGAUUUUAAAUUCCAAAAAUAGUAUUCACGUUCGCCACAUUCAAAAAUCCAACCUGGGCUUGGAGAUUCGAUUCAUCUCAUAGAUUAAUUUUAUAAACUAAUGUUUAGUGAAAAAUUAACCUUAAUGGGUCCUCCUCUCCAGGCCUAAUUCUUAAUUUUUUUUUUAAUUUGGUCCUACUUAAGUGGCUUCUAACGUUACCGUGUCUUUAUUUUGUGUACAGUUGUUUUACUAAUUUGUCAUUUAGUGCAAAUAACAGCACUCAACUUGUAAUAUCCAGUAUCCACAAAUCAGCCACUUCGGCCAAGGCCGAAGUGGUGGGCUGCUGCCCUCACAAUGCUUGUGAGGGCAGCGGUUCUAGCCCCCACAAAAGCAUUGUGGGGGUUAAAUGUUCUUUAUAUUUCCAAAAAAAUCCUUCUCUCUUGCAAAAUGUAAGUGGAGUAUGGACAUCCCUCUCCUGUGAGGGGUUAUUUGUCUGGGCAUGUACUUCAUAGAAUUCAUUGUAAUAAUGUAAGUCCCAAUCAUGUAUAUCUGAUUGUAAAUAUCAGUGUAAUAUCUCUGCUACAAUAAGCAGUUGUUGUAAAUAUCUGUCUGAUGAUUAAUCAGUAUUCAAAAAAAAAAAAGUAUCCACAAAUCAUGAACUCAUUUUUUAGUUCUUUCAUGUGUACUAACAUUCGUACAAAUAUACAAUAAGUUCAUAAUUUAGUCCAAGUUGACGAGAAAUUCUUGACCCACCCCUAAAUAUCUGUCCGCCAAUAGCGUGAAGUGGCCGGCAUAAAUUUAAAGCAGCUGGGACAUUGUAACUCAUCCAAAGAUUGUAUAACAUCUCUUUUUUGCUUUAUCGUUUUUCUCCAGUUGCAUAGUUUCUUAUCCUACCGCUUUAAAAACAAUUAUUCCUAGAAAUUUUCAUUUAUCUAAUGAAUUUUAAGAAUUUUUUCAGCAAACAAUUUUUACUUUUUUUUUUUUUUAUCAUUGAUGGGUAAAGAAAAUAUUAAUGAAAAAUGAGGAGUUAUUGGCUGGUUCAACGGAUUAAUUGCAAUGAUAAAUACAGGGAGGAUUGGAUUAUAUGGCAAAUUUUUAUAGUAAAUGUAAUAUAUAUGCUAACACUUUUUAUUUAUGGCAAAAUAUCUUCCUCUUUUGAGACUUUUCCCUCUAAGAAAAUUGGAGGAUACGACAAUAUAUAUAUAUAUAUAUAUACUAAUAUUUAUCAUUUAUAGAAAAGUAUCUAUCCCACUUAAGAUUUGCCCCACUAGAAAAGGAAAAAAAAAUCCCUCAAAAUAAAAGAGCGAAAUGGAAACAGAACAAAAUUUGAUUUUGUGGAUCUUGUAUUGUGUGAUAAGUCCGGCAUGCAAUUUUGGGCCAGCUUACCGUGCGCAUGGGAGCAUUCACAAAGUAUCUCUCGUCACUAUCGAAAACUUUUAACAGUCAAUACAAAUGCUUCCGUUUCAUCCCAUAAACAAAUAAAAUUCACAUCUGUACACAUCUACUUUGCUUUGCUAGAUAGAGUUCCUCUGCAUUUCCCAAUUGCCUAAAGAGAAGGGGAAAAGAAAAAGAGGGCCAAAAAAUGCCUGAAAUGGUAAGGAACAAGCAAGUGAUAUUGAAGGACUAUGUGUCUGGUUUCCCAAAAGAAACAGACAUGUACAUGACCGAAAGUUCCAUAGAAUUGAAGGUGCCAAAAGGUUCAAAUGGGGUUCUUUUAAAGAACUUGUACUUGUCCUGUGAUCCGUACAUGCGACCAAGAAUGACCUACAUCGAAGGAUCUUAUGUUGAAUCCUUUAAACCUGGCUUGGUUAGUGCACUCGCUCAUGGCCACGCUUUUCAUUUCCAUGGCUUCUUGCUCUUUUGUUAUAGAAAAUUUAUUUUUGGUUGCAGUUUGGUUCGACUGCUAAAAUCUCGUGCGAUAAUUGUAUAAGAUAUCUAGAGUUUGAACUUCUUUCACAUUAGGGUUCAAGGAAGUUAACUUAAAUGAUUUUCAAAAUUUUAAAUGUGUACCAAUGAAUUUAAUUUCAUAGCUUAAACUUAUUGUUUGAUCAUACUCUAACUUUGGACAGGAAAAUUAUAUUUUUCCUUUUGUUCUUUGACUUCGUGUAUGUUGUGUGAAGUACUUGUGCUUGAAAAUGAAUUGCUGACACAGAAAUUUCUAUGAAUGCAUGCAGCCCAUAAGUGGAUAUGGGGUGGCUAAAGUUUUGGAUUCAGAGAAUCCAGAGUUCAACAAAGGUGACUUGGUUUGGGGAAUGACUGGAUGGGAAGAGUAUAGUCUCAUUACGGCUCCACACUUGUUUAAAAUUCAGCACACAGAUGUGCCUCUUUCUUACUAUACUGGAAUCCUCGGUAAACUUUUUGUUUGCGCAAUUUAUGUGAGCAAAUUGUGUCUUCUUUUUCAUAUGUAAAUGUUUUUGAUAUCUUGAUGUGAAGGUAGAAAAUUGCAUGUUUUGAGUUUUUGCAUAUUUGAUGGAAACACAGAACCGUACCUGAAUAUUUCAGAACCCCCUUUUCUUUGAAGUUUGAACACUUUUCUUGAAUGUAUCAACUUUAUUUAUGGGAUAUGUUGCCAAAUUGGCAAAUCUAUUCGUUAUAAAACUUUCCUUUGACAGUUUAAUCUAAGCAGAUGUUAAUUCUGCAAAUAGAGUGUGCCUUAGUUUAGAUUGAUAGAUUUGUCUCCUUCUGUACAGUAAAAACUUUGAGCAUUUUCGCCAUAUUCUGAUCAAUACACUCCAACUAGUUAGUUCUUGAGGCGUUUCCUGGUUUCGUGGAGUGAGCCAAGAUGUAUACGUUUGCAAAUUGGCAAUGUCUUUUGCUUGAUGUGUUGUGAGUUGUGAGUGUCAAUAGGAAAGUUUCAAAGUGCGCAGUGCUCACUUGAGCACCCAUAUUACUUGGUGACCUGUUGCCUCAGCAAACAAGACCUCUGUUUUAUGAACUCCAAAAAGUUAUUCUGUUAAAAAGAUCGAGACAGAGGCCAUACUAUAUUUAUUAUUGCUAUAAAAGUGUCAAACAAUAUUCUUUAUUUAAUAUUCUAAACGAUUGAGCCAUUUAGUUAUGAUACUCUGCUGUACUGGGGCUAAUAAUCUAAGUCGGUUCAAAGUGGUAAAUUUAUAAAUUGAUAGGUAUGCCUGGUAUGACCGCUUACGUUGGAUUUUAUGAGGUCUGCUCUCCUAAGCAUGGAGAGUGCGUCUUCAUAUCAGCAGCAUCUGGUGCAGUUGGUCAGCUUGUGGGGCAGUUUGCAAAGUUAUUGGGUUGCUAUGUCGUCGGAAGUGCUGGAAGCAAAGACAAGGUAUGUAAUCUGUGUGAACUACUUGAUUGUUUCCAUGUUACUUUCAAACAUUUAAAUUAAAAAGGAAAUUUUCAUAAUCUUGCCUUUUCUAUGAUUUUCAACACCAAGGUUGAUCUACUGAAGAACAAGUUUGGGUUCGACGAGGCAUUUAACUAUAAAGAAGAAGCUGAUUUGAAUGCAGCAUUGAAAAGGUUAGCAUCAAUAAAUGCCUUAGCUUGAUGCAGCUUGAUGAAGUAUGAUACACAUUUCUGACCAAUAUACUGCGUUCCCUGAUCUCUUACUUGAAAUAUCUUGGUUUGAGAAUCUCAUGCCAAUGCCUUUAACAUUUUGGCAGGUACUUUCCUGAAGGAAUUGAUAUAUAUUUUGAAAACGUUGGUGGAAAAUUGCUUGACGCAGUGCUACCCAACAUGAAAAUCCGUGGUCGAAUUGCUGCAUGCGGUAUGAUCUCACAGUACAAUCUUGACAAGCCUGAAGGUGUGCACAACUUGAUGUAUCUUGUUUCGAAACGGCUUCGAAUGGAAGGAUUCAUUGUUCUGGAUCACUAUCACCUCUAUCCAAAGUUUCUGGAAAUGAUCAUUCCUCACAUCAAAGAAGGGAAGCUUGUAUACGUCGAAGACAUGGCUGAAGGUCUGGAGAGUGCUCCGGCAGCUCUCAUCGGUCUAUUCUCUGGCCAGAAUGUUGGGAAACAGGUGGUUGCUGUUGCUCCUGAAUGAAGAACAAGUUAGUGUUGUGUGUUCUUUUACCCUUUGACACAAAACUUCAAUGUUAAAGAGAGAAUGCUGCUCAUACUGCUUUAUAAAAUAAUCAAAUGAGUGCAAGUUUCAUGAUAUGUGCUGAAUAAAAAUAUUGGAAAUUAAGCAGCUAGCCUAGCUCCUUCUUGUAGUUGCAGUUUGAAUGAUGCUGCUGCACAACUGCUGCCGAAAAAAUCCUUAAUAGAUGAUUAGCAAGGUUUCAAAAAUAAAAAUAAAUGUUUGUGCAAUGUGCCGAAUAUGACAGCCACAAAGAAAGAGCAUACAAAUUGACUGGUUUUAUGUCUUCUCUAGGAGAAAGCUACAAUACAAGAAAUUGUAUUGAUGCCAUGGACCAAAUUUCUUAUUUAAACUUUUAAUUUUUUUUUAUUAAAAUUACUUAUGUUAUUAUGGUUUAUAUUUUUAGAAAUUCUUUAGAAAUUAAUACAGAACUAGUAGCAAGUUGAGAAAUCUAAUGAAUGGUCGAGAUAUGAUCAUGUUUAUUGAAUUAAAUUGACAAUCAUCAUUUUGAUAAAUUAUUGUUAGGAUAUUUGAUUCAUCACAGGUGUAAGUAACUAAAUGUGCUAAAAAAAAAGUUAAUGAGUUGUGAGUGUUUGAUAUUCGUUUGUUGUAAUUCUUUUAAUAAUUGUUGUGGGAAAAAAAUUAUGGUAAAAAAAUUAUAAUUAUAAAAUAAAAAUUAAUAAUAUAUUAUAAAUAAAAUUUUUAAAUAAUAAUUUUAAUAAAAUAAUAAAUAUAUUAUGAAUUUUUCAUUAUAAAUUUUUAAGUUAAAAUAAUAAAUAUUUAUUAAAUAUUUUAAUAGCACAACUUUUAAAUUAUAACAGUACAAUGUAAAUACCAGAGGUCUUAAAAAAUAAAAUUACAGUCAAGUUUUAAAACUGUUAAUAAUGCUAUUCAUAAAGGCGCUCGUCGUGUAAACAACACAUGGGACCCAACCAAUAAAUGUUUAUGAUCCUCAACUUUCCUCCUCACCGUCCCUGCAAACAAUUCUGAUUUUCUUGUCUGAGAAAAAAACUGAGAAACAAUGGCGGCCGAACAAGAAGCUGUGAGCAAUAAGCGGGUGAUUCUAAGCAACUAUGUGACAGGUUUUCCAAAAGAAUCGGACAUGAAGAUAACAUGUGGAUCAAUAAAACUGGAGGUAGCAGACGGUUUAAAAGACACGGUGCUUUUGAAGAAUCUUUAUAUUUCUUGUGAUCCUUACAUGCGAGAGCGUAUGAGCAAGCUUGAUAGACCUUCUUUUGUUGAUUCAUUCCAUCCUGGUGAGGUUAGUUCAUCACGACCCAUCUCUUGAUUUUUUUUUUUUUUCAUUUGCUUCAAGUUUUGAUGAGUUUCUGAGGUCAUUUGUACGGUUUUGGAAUGUGAACACUAUUAGUGAUUUUGGGGCUGUAACUGUCAUUAAUGAUAUGUAGUAAUUCAAUCAGAAUUUGGAUUUAGUGCUGAUAUGAUCUCUGCUCAUUUUUUAAAAUCUUGUGUCCAGAUGCAUUUUUAUAAUCUUGUACGGUUGAGAUUGUAAGUAGAUUAAUCUACGUGCAGUAUUCUUGUCUAAUGACUACUAACCACAACCUUAUGAGACGAUCGAAACCAAGCUCAGAUCAAUAAUCCAAUUGAGAGAGGGUCCUAACUCAAGCUUAUCGUGUGUAGGAAUAUUUCGGUUAAAUUGUAAUUCUUUUAAUAAUUGUUGUGAAAAAAAAAAAGUUAUGAUAAAAAAAUUAAUAAUUAUAAAAUAAAAAUUAAUAAUAUAUAAUAAAUAAGAUUUUUAAAUAAUAAUUUUAAUAAAAAAUAAUAAAUACAUUAUCAGUUUUUCAUCGUUAAUUUUUAAGUCACAACCACAAAUAUUUACUAAACACUUUAACACCAUAAUUAACACCACAACUAUUGAAUUAUAACUGUACAAUCUAGACGCCAAGAGGCCUUAGUAUGAAAAAAAAAAAUUACAGUUAAGUUAAAAUUCAUCAUACAGAUGUGCCACUUUCAUACUAUACCGGGAUCCUCGGUAAUGAUUUUUGUUACACAAUAAGAUUUGCUUAUAGUAAUAUCAAUACAUAUGCUGCUUAAAUGCUUUCUGAUUUUUUGCCGGCCAUUGUCCAUUUUGCCAGGGAGUCUAUAAUUGAAGGAAUUUACUGAAGGAAUGCUGAUUGUUGGGAAUUUGAUUAUUCUAGGUAUGCCUGGUGUAACUGCAUACGCUGGUUUAUACGAAGUUUGCUUUCCGAAGAAAGGAGAGUAUGUCUAUGUAUCUGCAGCAUCUGGAGCUGUUGGUCAGCUUGUUGGACAGUUUGCAAAAUUAGCUCGUUGCUAUGUUGUUGGAAGUGCAGGAAGCAAAGAAAAUAUAGCACCGUGCCUUCUAGCAGAAUUUUACUUGCUUUAUGUUCCAACUAAGCAUCCAUAUUUGAUCAUGAUAAUUAGCAAGGUCAAUAAUUUUUUUUUGACUAUUUUUUCAACGUAAGGUCGAUUUGUUGAAGAACAAGUUUGAACGAUGCUUUUAACUACAAGGAAGAGCCUGAUUUGGAUGCAGCACUCAAAAGGUCAGCUGCAACAAACGUUUCAACUCUAAUAUUUCAUUUUAAUAUUACAGAGCUUUGGUUGAAGUGUGUGAGUUGAUCCCAGAAACGUAACUUCAUCAGUGUCUCUGUUUUCAAAAAACAGGACAAAUAGAAAUCUGAUUUUGCUUUAAAAUUUCCCAGAUGCUUCCCUCAAGGAAUCGACAUAUAUUUCGAAAAUGUUGGGGGAAAGAUGCUGGACGCAGUGCUACUCAACAUGAGGCUCCGGGCCGCAUUGCAGUAAGCAGUAUGAUCUCACAGUAUAACCUGGAAAAACCCGAAGGCGUUCACAACUUAGAGCAACUGAUCGGGAAACGGAUUCGCCUGGAAGGAUUUCUAGCUGGUGAUUACUAUCACCUCUAUCUGAAAUUCUUGGAACUGGUCAUUCCUCCAAUCAGAGAAGGAAAGAUGCUGUAUGUGGAAGACAUGGCCGAAGGACUCGAGAAAAUUUCUCGUAACUGCUACACAUUAAACGCGUUUCACAUUUCCACUCUCUUUCUAUAAAUAAAUACGCACAUAAAAUUUCUCACCAUCCAAAAACAAAAUCUACAUAAAAAAUGGCGGGUGAAGAAGCAGUGAGCAACAAGCAGGUGAUUCUGAGCAACUACGUGACAGGGUUUCCCAAGGAAUCAGACAUGAAGAUAAUAACAGGCUCAAUAAACCUUAAGGUGCCAGAGGGUUCAAAAGACACAAUGCUUUUGAAGAAUCUUUAUCUUUCUUGUGAUCCUUACAUGAGAGGACGUAUGAGCGAGCUUGAUAAGCCUUCGUUUGUUGCCUCAUUCGAGUCUGGCGAGGUCAGUUACUUCAAUUCCCAUCUCUUGGUUUCAUAAUCUUUUAUGGUUUUAGAAGGUGUUUUAGGGAAACAUUGUGGUUUUGGUUAGUGGGCAUGAGUCUUUGAAGAGAUUAUAAUGUGUAGGACUAUGCAUGCAAUAAUAAGCAUAGGGGAUCUUGUUAGGAGAAGAUUCUCUUAGCAAAAUAAAAACUUUUAUCUUAUCAAAACAUAUGCAGGGAACUUAGUUAUGAUGUCAUGUUAGCAUUAUCUCUGAGGAUUUGAUUUCUUGAUGGGGAAAGGGGAAUUUAAGGUUACAUUAUUCAGCAAUGUUUUUUUUUUAAAAAAUUAUGUUCAAAUUAUGCAGCCUUUAAGCGGAUAUGGAGUGUCCAAAGUGUUGGAUUCCACGCCUCCAAAUUAUAAGAAAGAUGACUUGGGUGGCGUUUGUUUUUUAACUUAAUGACUUAAAGUGACUUAACUUAAUUAAUUAAGUUAAUUAGAGAUGUUUGUUUUUAUAACUUAAUGUGACUUUUUAAAUAAUUUUGACUUAAUAAAAUAAGCCAAUUUUAUUUACUUUUUACUUAAUAGAGACAUCUGAAUUAAGUCAAGUACUUUCUAAUGUCAAAAAUAUACAUGCUUUAUAAUUUAUUUUUCAUGUCUAUCCCAAAACUCACCCAUAGACAUUUACCCCACAUAAUAAUCUCAUCAUUAUUUUUUUAGCCGUCAUGAAAUCCCUCCUCACUUUGGUAUCAACUCCUCAACUAUUGAAGAUCAAAAUUACAUGCGACAACUUCGAGAUGAAUGGCAAAUCAACUGUUUCAAGCAUCUUAUUCGUUUUUUUUCUUUUUUAUAUUAUAUACGAUAAAAUUUGAAAUUUAUGGUAUUUUAUAUAUUAAAAUUCCAAAAUCAUUAUAUAUUCACUUGAAUAUAGUUUUACUUAUAAAUGUUAAAAUAUUGUGAUAUUUAAUAUAUUAUUUAUUUGACAUUCAAAUUUAAUAAGGAUACAAAUGUAAAAGUACAUAUUUUUCAGUUUUUUAAGUUGAAAAAAGCAAACAACUUAAUAAUUAUUUUUCGAGAUUCAGACGAAAAAACAAACAUAUUAUUCAGAUUCAGACAUUCAGAUCUAUUCAGAAUUUAGACUAAUUCAGGUCUAUUCAGAUUUCAGAUAAAAAAACAAACGCCACCUUGGUCCGGGGCUUAACCAGUUGGGAGGAGUUCAGUCUCAUCCAAUCACCACAACUUCUGAUUAAAAUUCUGGAUACAAGUGUGCCUCUGCCAUAAUUAAUUGACAGGUUGCUAUGUUGUUGGAAGUGCCGGAAGCAAAGAAAAGGUGAGUUUGCACCCUUAACCCUUACGCUCUAAAUAAAAACAUAACACCUUCUGAAAGAAUUGUGCAUAGAGAAUUUUGCAUGUCACAUUAUUUGUGUUCUAACUAAUCAUGGAUAUUUGAUCAUUAGUCUAACUAAAACUGACAUAUUACCACCUAGUUGACUGGUCUUUGAGAAAUGUUAGUUGAUAUAUGCUUGAAAUCAUACUUGUUUUAUUAGAUGAUUAUAUUAACCUGCUUCUUUUUCUUUGUGCUGUUUCUCGUUUGAUUACAUUUUCAACAUUAGGUCGAUCUAUUGAAGCACAAGUUUGGGUUUGAUGAUGCCUUUAACUAUAAGGAAGAGCCUGACUUGGAUGCAGCUCUUAAUAGGUUAGCACGAAUGAAUGCUUUAACCAUUUUUCUCACUUCAUUAUUACAAUGCGCUGAUUGAAGUAAUCAGUGUUGGCUCUGAAAAUGUAACGUAUACUUCUCUGUUUUCAUAAAACAGGACAAACAGUGAUCAGUGAUCUCAUUCGUUACAUUGAUAUUUUCUACCAUUGCCAUACAUAGUAUAAACUAGGAAUUCAGUUGCUUAAUAGAUAUUCAUUUCAGAGGGAAAUUUUCACUUGCAGCUAACAGAAUCAUGUUUGUGAUGUAUGUUUAUUUGGGAAAUGAAAGGAUUUGUUGCAUUAUUUUAUUCCAAGUUUGCUGAAAUCAUAUUUGUUUUCCCAGGUGCUUUCCUGAAGUUAUCGACAUCUAUUUCGAAAAUUUUGGAGGUAAGAUGCUUGAUGCAGUGCUACUCAACAUGAGAAUUUGUGGCCGCAUCGCUGUAUGCGGAAUGAUCUCACAGUACAACUUUGAGAAGCCUGAAGGUGUACACAACUUGAUGCAAGUAGUUGGAAAACGAAUUCGCAUGGAAGGAUUUCUUGCCAGUGAUUUCUACCACCAAUAUCCAAAAUUCUUGGAACUGGUUAUGCCGGCAAUCAAAGAAGGAAAGUUAGUAUAUGUCGAGGACAUAGCUGAAGGCCUCGAGAAAGCUCCAUCAGCCCUAGUUGGGAUAUUCACAGGUCAAAAUGUUAAAAAACAACUGGUUGUAGUUGCUCGGGAAUGAUAUGAUUACUAUAUGCUUUAAAAAGUGGACUUUGCCAUGCACUUUAAAAGCUUAGUGAAGAUGCCUUUGUCUUAUUUUUGAUACAUGUUAUGUUUGUUUGAUCAAGUUGUACUCAGCUAUAAAUCAAAGAUUCAGAACAUGUGUAUGAUACUGGUUUCUAAAUCAAUGAACGCGUUGAAAUGUUAGUGUUUUCACAGGAGAAUGCAAUUUAAUUCAUCAACAAUGUCCCAACAAGACCCUCAGAGCUGUAGCUUGUAAAGUUAAUUACGAUAUUUUUUUGUAAAGUAAAUUACCAUAUUUUUUUCUUUCCAAUAUAUUGCUUAUUUCAUAGAAAGUUUACAUUAAAGUCUCAUGUUUCUUUGAAAGGUAAGCAAGUGUGAACGUUUCAAUCUAGAGCUGGAAAAUGCAUUUCCGGGCAACUUACUUGAUACAUGAAGUUUUCAUCUCUGACCUUGAUGUUUCCCAUAGUUGCAUUCAUUUCAGCUGAUCUAUUUAAUUUUGUUUUCGAAGGAGUGACACAAAAUCUCCUUUGUUAAGGGGAGAAUUUAGAGUGGCUUUGACUGUUAGCAAAUAGCCUAAUGUAAGACUUAACCAACUUCCUGCCCUGUUGUAUGCUUAUGAAUUUUGAUAGAGCUAAGAGUUUGCAGAAGCUACUGUAUUAUUUGUCGUUAGAGGCUGUAAAAAUCAAACACAUUUAAAUUUCAAUGAAAAUUUACUGGAAGUAAAUUUCCUAUGAUCCCACAGGUGACUAAUUAAUGAGAACUUGACAAUGACAAAAGAAAGUCUAUGAACUUUGCAGGCUGGCAUGCCAAUAUUGACUGGGUGGCACCAUCCACCAUCUGCAAGUGAAUAUCAUUGUUGUUUAAUCAACAAGGUGGAGUCCACUGGGACCACACCACAUCGUCAGCCUUAUCUCUAUUCCUCAAUUUUCAGUAUUCCAUACAUCAAACCAAUUUCAGUUUUGUUAUCAAUUAUAAUUUUAUUGUUGGUGACGAUUCUGAUUCCUUUCUGACAAAAGGGAACCAUGGCUGCUGCUGGAGAGAUCUUACUCAACGCCUUCUUUCAGGUACUGUUCGACAGGUUGGCUUCUCGUAAUUUGCUCAGCUUUGUGCGUCAACUCCAAGGCGGGGUUGAUUCGGAGCUCAAAAAGUGGGAGAAAAAGCUGAAGAUGAUUCGGGCUGUGCUCUGCGAUGCAGAGGAGAAGCAACUGACUGACGAGGCUGUGAAGAUGUGGCUGGACGAACUCCAAGACUUGGCUUAUGACGCUGAGGACACUCUUGAUGAGUUUGCUACUCAAGCUUUGGAAAGCAAGUUGAUGGCGCAAAAUCACGAUAGUUCUGGCCAGGUUCUCAGUUUCAUCCCGGCUGGUUUGAAUCCGAAUGCUAUUAUGUUCAAUUAUAGCAUGGGGUCCAAGAUGAAAGAUAUUACUAGCCGGCUGGAGCAACUCUGCCAAGAAAGAAUUGAACUUGGACUGCAACGGAUUACCGGAGAGGCAUCAUCAACUGCUGCUGCUGCACACCAGAGGCCACCCAGUUCGAGUGUCCCAACAGAACGUGAAGUAUUUGGAAGAGAAAAAGAUAAGGCCAAAAUUCUUGAUAUGUUAUUAGCCGAUACCAUAAGUGAUCAUGCUAACUUUGUUGUAAUACCCAUUGUUGGCAUGGGUGGGAUAGGAAAAACAACUCUCGCUCGGGAGGUUUACAAUGACAAAGCCGUUGGAGGUUCCAAGUUUGAUGUAAAAGCAUGGGUUUGUGUAUCUGAUGUCUUUGAUGUUUUGGGCAUCUCAAAGGCACUUCUCGAGUCAAUCACCCGCAGGCCUUGUCUUCUAAACAGUUUAAAUGAAGUGCAGGUUGAAUUGAAAGUAGCUGUGGAUAAGAAAAGAUUCUUGCUGGUCUUAGAUGAUGUUUGGAACGAGGACUACAGCUUGUGGGUAGACUUAAAAGCUCCGUUCCUGGGUGCUGCACCAAACAGUAAGAUGAUCGUCACCACACGCAAUUCAAAUGUUGCAUCAACAAUGGGACCAAUUGAACAUUACAAUCUCAAGAGUCUGUCAGAUGAUGAUUGCUGGUCCAUUUUCAUAAAGCAUGCAUUUGAAUCUAGAGAUCUUAACGCACAUCAAAUUUCAGAAUCAUUCCGCAAGAAAGUUGUUGCCAAGUGUGGAGGCUUGGCCCUGGCAGCAAAAACACUCGGAGGCCUUCUGCGUACGACGAGGCAUGAUGCGUGGGAUGAUAUAUUAGAGAGCAAAAUAUGGGAUUUACCUCGACAAAGUGGGGUUCUCCCAGUAUUAAGAUUGAGUUACCAUCAUCUUCCUUCUCAUUUGAAAAGAUGUUUUGCUUUUUGUGCCAUCUUUCCAAAAGAUUAUGAAUUCACUGAGAAGGAGCUGACUUUCUUAUGGAUGGCUGGAGGUAUUAUUCGACAGUCAAGAAACAAUGAGCAGCUGGAAGAUUUGGGCAGCAAGUGCUUUGGUGAUCUAGUGUCGAGGUCAAUUUUUCAGCAAACAGCAAGCUCUGAUAGUUCUAAAUUUGUAAUGCAUGACCUUAUUCAUGAUCUUGCUGAAUUGGUCUCUGGAGAAACCAUAUUCAGGUUAGAGGAGGCCAAUACUCUGUCAAGAAGAUUUGAAAGGGUUCGCCAUUCUUCCUAUGCUUGUGGUGGAUGUGAUGGUAAAAAUAUGUUCGUGGUUUUCAAUGAAAUUGAACAUCUACGAACAUUCUUGCCAUUACGCUUACGCAUAAGAGGUGGCUCUAAUACUAGUUACAUAACUCGUACGGUUCUAUCUGAUUUGCUGCCGAAGUUCAAAAUGUUGAGAAUGCUAUCUUUACAAGGAUACCGUAUUGGUGAGUUACCAAUUCCAUUUGAAGAUUUGAGACUACUAAGGUUCCUCAACCUUGCUGACACUGACAUAAGAAGUUUACCUGAGUCAACAUGCAAAUUGCUGAACUUGGAAAUUUUGAUAUUAAGAAAUUGUUCCUAUUUGAUAAAGCUUCCGCAGAAAAUGAGGAAUUUGAUCAAUUUACAUCACCUCGAUAUAAGAGGUGCGAAGUUGCUGAAGGAGAUGCCAUUCGGAAUGAAAGAGUUGAAGAAGCUUCAAACAUUGUCCAAUUUCAUCGUGGGCAAGGGCGAAACUGCAUCUGGUUUGGAAGAUUUAAAAUGUUUAAACUUUCUUGGUAAUGAACUUUGCAUUGCUGGAUUAGAGAAUGUGAAUAAUCCACAGAAUGCAAGAAGAGCCGCAUUAUGCGAGAAGCUCAAUCUUGAAGCAUUGACUCUAGAAUGGGGGUCUCAAUCUGACAGUCCUCGAGAUGCAGUACCAGAAGAGAAUGUACUUGACACUCUACAGCCGCAUAAACGUAUAAAAGAGCUGGCAAUCAGACACUAUGGUGGUGCAAGAUUUCCACUUUGGAUCGGAGAUCCUUCAUUCUACGAGAUGAAGGUCCUUAAAUUGGAGAACUGUGACAAUUGUGUAUCUUUGCCGUCGCUUGGCCUGAUGAGUUCACUUAAGCACCUUGCUGUUAAAGGGCUGAAGAAACUAAAAAGCAUAGAGUCUGAGGUUUAUGGGGAGGGUUUCUCAAUGCCUUUUCCGUCACUGGAGAUUCUAAGUUUCGAGAAUUUGCCAGAAUGGGAGCAUUGGGACACCGAGAUCAAAGGAAAUGCGCCUGUUGAUUUAUUUCCUCGUCUCCAAGAACUUUCCAUUGCAGAAUGUCCCAAACUCUCUGGACAACUGCCUGAGCUCCUGCCUUCCUUGAAGACACUUGUUGUUAGUAAAUGUGAAAAGUUGGUAGUUCCAUUGUCUUGCUAUCCAAUGCUUUGCAGAUUAGAAGUUGAUGAGUGCAAAGAACUAGUCUGCCGGACUCCGAUUGAUUUUAAGUUGAUAAAGUCCAUGACUAUUUCAAAUAGUUCAUUAGACAUGAAUGGACGCAAGGGGAUGUUAUACGAUGGUCCAGCUGGCUCUUCACUGCCAAAC
rnacentral:lncRNA from 1 species